rnacentral:lncRNA from 1 species
AACAAACCAAAUUUAGCGUAAUGAAAACACAAAAAGUAGCAAACUUUACAGUUGAAAUACAAAACAAAUUUGAGAUUCUGAAACCUUUGAAUGAAGACCAGUGCCAGUUUCUUUAAAUCGCAAGAAGGAUUCUUCAGAAAUUAGUUUUUUCAAUUCCAUCUCACAAUUCAGCUCGCCAUUGCUUUGCUGUCUACCAUUACCUCCCACAUUCAUGCUGGACGGUCCAUUGUCAUUUUCGUUAGCCUCAUUAAUGCUACCAACAAGGUUAGGCCUGUUCUCCCUCUUCUUCAAAAAUUUAAAUUGCUUCCCAAGACCUUUGACAGCAUGUUCAGUCUUAAUAUCAUCCCCAGACCUCGUUGACUUGGUAUCUGUUGGAGUUUCCUGCUUUUGUAGAUGCUGCACCCAACAAGAACCAAGUUCCCAUCUAAUAGAUCUUUCUGAAGCAGUUGGCUCCAGCUCUAACUUUGCUAAACUCUGUUUAAUAACUCUUCUUACAAGACUUCUAAAAGCUUCUGAAUUAUCCAAAUUGCACAGAGGUGACUGGUCUCCUCUAGCCGAUUCAGCACUGAAAGACUUCUGAAGCACAAGCCUUAAGCUGCAAUAAAUAGUUUACCCUGUCAGAACAACUUACAUGGAGAAAGACAUAAGAUUAUAUGAAACAAAGGCAGAAUCCACCAAAGAAGGCCUAAAUACUUUCUGAAAUAGCACAAUCUAAAAAGCUGAUGACCUAUUUCAGCAACUGAGCAUGCACUGUAAUUAUACUUUCCUUUAUCCUUUAUUUGAACAUCAUCAACGAUGUCUGUUGGUUAUUUUGUUAAUAUAACAAUUACAAACCAAUGUCAGGGCACAUAACUAUAAACACUCAUCCAUUAUUGUGAAAGCCAUGACUUAAUGUUUCCUGCAACCACUCGUUAUUAUUUAGGUGGUCUACAACUAUGCAGAGGUGAAGCAUCCCCAUACAGUGAAGGAUCUCACACAUAUUUUAAUAGAGGAAAAGCCAUUUUCUGGUCGACAGGAUGCUGAAAGAGGAGUAUAUAUCCCUAACUAGAUAUCAGCUUUCUUUUCUUUGGCCUAUUCAUAAACUUAACACUUGAAGAAAACCUGGUUUAGAAAUCUGACAUCAACUCCCCUUAAGAGUUCAGACAUCUACUGAUUAGAUCCCAUCUAAACAGAAAGAAAAAGGAGCAGGUGCUAUCCUUUCUUAAGAAUCCCCAACACCACCAUUUCAAUCCUGUUCUAUCUGGUAAAAAUAAAGAGAAUAACAAUGCUCUGCAUCAUGAAUUCAACUGUGAUAGACACUAAGCAAAGAAGCUCAUACCAAUUAGUAUGUCUAAGAUAUCUUGCAGAAUAGCUUAAAACUGUUAGUGGUUGAAAGAUAAUUUUUCAUAUCUUACAGCCAUUCUCCAUCUGUAGAUUUCCUAGUCUUUGUGUGCUAAGAGAAAUCGACAGAGGAAGCAUUGUGUUACAAUUUCAAACCUGUUAAUAUUAAGAGAAUUAGCUCCUCCAUCAGGUUGAUCUUCAAUUUCAAUAUCUUGUGUGCCAAACUUCUCCUUCACAUCACCAACAACCUUUACUACAGCGGUGUAUCCACAGUGUCUUACAAUGACAGUACCCAAUGAGGAGGAUUCCUGCCAAAAACUAUAUUGUUUCAGUUCUCUUUAUCACAAAAUCUUUGAAACUAAAAUAAAAGAAACGGAAAAAGAAAAGGAAGAUAAAUCUAGAUAUUUUGAGAAAAAUAAAUCUGGAUAAUUCAAGAAAGUUUUAUUUCAAGAUCUACCAUGCUGAAAACUUUAGCAAUUGCACCACUAGUUGAUAUAAUACAAGCAUGCCCAACCAAGGUUAAUAGGCUUCCCCAAGACAUUAAGCUGGAGCAAACUACGAGCAGAAAAUCAGAGGGAUAUGGAUAAAAUCAGUAGAAAGACCUGCUAUCAAGUGAUUUCAACAGAAUAGGGAGUCACCAAACAGAAAGGCAACAUAAGAUUCAUGAAGCUAAACCAGAUAUUUAAGGUUAGUAACGAGUAGUGAUUCUCAGGAAAGAACCUAAAAUUGACUUUCUUGUGCAUUCAUAAAUGUGUAGAAAGAGAGAGUGAAGAGGAUGGGUAUUUUAGGCCAUCAUCAAAUGCCAGAUAUCAGAUAAAGAGGGAAACAUCUUAAUCCGACUGAAAAAUCACUCCCUGACAAAGGUAGAGCUAUAUUAUUCCGCCCACACAAGUAAUUUCGGCUUUGAUGAAUGUCUUUUAUGUGUGUGUUCUGUGAACAUAAGCAUAAAAAGUAAAGGAGAAAUCGACUUACGUGAACAACUACACUCUCAUCUGCAGUAACACCUUUUAGUAAAUUCCUUUGAGCAACUUAUGCAGCAGACAUACCAGAUGACUGAUUUCCUUUAAUAGUAACCUCAGACAUCAAGCUUGCAUCUACUGUAUCAUGUUUUACUGUAAUGGACAAGUCUCCCACAAGAUCUUCAUGCAAGAUUGCCCCCUUUUGGACAUUGAUUGUAUCUUGAGUGUGUAAAUUUGAAUCAAUGAGACGGCAUAUUGCUCCAACAGCUUUCAAAAUUGAGACAUCAACAAAUUGCUUAUUGUUGAAAAUAAAGAUUUAAAGUUAGGAUUUAUUUGUAAUCUAGGCUAUUUUAGGAAUAAUUUAAAUUAUAAUGGGAAGAUUCAUUAGGAUUCUUUCCAGAUUUUAUUUCUUAUUAUUUAGGAAAGGAUAGAUGUAGUCUCCUAUUUUCUCUCCUAUUUUGCUGUAUAUAUUCCCUGUACAUACUGUUCUGGAAAGUAAGAAAAAGAGGAACCAAUUCACGGUUUUCUUCAUGGUAUCAGAGCUAGGCUCUAAACCCUAGUUCUCCUAUCAGCCGCCAUUUCCUUCUUCUCCUCUACCACCUCUUUUCAACAGUAUCCACCUUCCUUCCUCUCCCAUCAGUUGUAUUCUCUGUGGCAAAAUAUGGGAUGGCUUCUUCAUCAACCUCCGUUACAAUAUCACAGUCUAAAGGAAACAUGGAGACUGCAACUCAUGGUGGAAUUGAUUCUUCACCAAUCUUAAUUACCAGCCAUAAAUUGAACGGCCACAAUUAUCUCUAGUGGUCACAAUCUGUCAUGAUGUUCAUCUGUGGCAAGGGUAAGGAUGAUUAUCUCACGGGUGAAGCGGCCAUGCCAGAGGUGUCAGAUCCUAGUUUCAAAAGGUGGAAGUCAGAAAACAACAUGAUCAUGUCAUGGCUUAUCAAUUCCAUGAACAAUGAUAUUGGUGAGAAUUUUCUUCUGUUUGGGACUGCAAAGGACAUAUGGGAUGCUGCAAAGGAAACCUAUUCUAGCUCUGAGAACACAUCAGAGUUAUUCCAGAUUGAAACCAUCCUCCAUGACUUCCGCCAAGGAGAACAAUCUGUCACUCAGUACUUUAAUACUCUGACUAGGCAUUGGCAACACCUUGAUCUAUUUGAAACAUACCCUUGGAAGUGCACCGACGAUACAACCUUGUACAAGAAGAUUGUGGAACAGAAGAGAACAUUUAAAUUUCUCCUUGGACUCAAUAAAGAUCUUGAUCAGGUUAGGAGCCGUGUACUCGGGACAAAGCCUUUACCGCGCCCUCGUGAAGCCUUUUCUGAAGUUAGGCGUGAAGAAAGUAGGAAAAAGGAGAUGAUGGGGUCAUCAGAACCAACACUGGACGCCUCUGCACUUGCUGCCCGUGCAUCCAACUCUGUAGGGGUUAGUGAAAAUCGUACAAAGAAAGAAAGACCAUGGUGCGAUCACUGUCGUAAGGCAGGCCACUAUAAGGAGAGUUGCUGGAAAAUUUAUGGCAAACCUGCUGAUUGGAAACCUCGUUCCAAAGGUGACCGUGAAUCUCGUGCUCAUACAGCAUCCACCACGGACAAUCAGGCCCUACCCGAGCCAAAUCCAUUCAGCAAGGAGCAAAUGGAGAUUCUUCAAAAGCUUUUCGAUCAAGCCACUUUGAACUCCAAUGCAGGGACAAGUCUAGUGGCUCAGAAAGAGACUCAUUCAGCAUUUGCAGCCACUAAUGGAGCAAGCAAACCCUGGAUAAUUGACAUUGGUGCUUCUGAUCACAUGACUGGAGAUGCCUCAAUGUUGCAGGAUUAUAAAGCUAGCAUCAACAGCACUUCAGUCCGGAUCGCAGAUGGCUCUCACACAAAAAUAGCAGGGACAGGUUCCAUCAGACUCACUAAGGAGUUAUACCUUAAUUCUGUACUUUAUGUGCCUAAUUUGGCUUGCAAUUUACUUUCAAUCAGUAAAUUCACUCGUGAUCAGAAUUGUGUAACUAAAUUCUAUCCAAAUAUGUGUGUUUUUCAGGACUUGGAUUCGGGGAAGACGAUUGGCAGUGCUGAGCUAUGUUCUGGACUCUAUCUACUCAAAAGCAAUCAAUCCUCCUUCAUACAAGAUUCGAGAGCAAACUAUGCCAAGUCCAAUAGUCUGUCAACUAGUUAUCCUCAUUCUAUUGUUAGUCCAAAUGUCAAUAACGAUAGUGAAAUUGUUCUGUUACACUAUCGAUUAGGUCAUCCUAGUUUCAUGUAUCUCGCAAAAUUUUUUCCCAAUCUAUUCAUUAAUAAAAACCCUUUAUCCUUUCAUUGUGAAAUUUGUCAAUUUGCAAAACAUACUCGAAAUGUUUAUUCAAGUGUUAAGUAUAAGCCUUCUCGUCCAUUUGCUUUAAUUCACAGUGAUGUGUGGGGUCCCUCAAGAAUUAAAAAUGUUUCUAGGGCUCACUAGUUUUUGUCAUUUGUAGAUGAUCAUACUCGUCUCACUUGGGUGUUUCUCAUGAAAAAUAAAUCUGAAGUUAGUCAAAUCUUCCAAAACUUUAACGCCAUGAUUCAAACCCAAUUCAAUACCAAAAUCCAAGUCCUUAAAACCGACAACGUCAAGGAAUAUUUCAAAGACUCCCUCAGGUCAUAUCUUCUCCAUCAAGGCAUUCUUCACAUCAGUUCUUGUGUUGACACCCCGCAACAAAAUGGGGUCGCUGAAUGCAAAAACAGACACCUUCUUGAAGUGGCUCGCUGUCUUUUGUUCUCGUCUCAUGUUCCUAAUUUUUUCUGGGGUGAAGCUGUUCUCACUGCAGCCUACUUAAUCAACCGAAUGCCUUCUAGAGUCUUGGGGUUUCAUUGCCUAAGAAAAGUUCUUCUCAAUUUCUUUCCACACACUAGGAUUGUUUCAGCAGAUUUACCACAAAAAAUAUUCGGUUGCACAGCAUAUGUCCAUGUUCACUCUCAACACAGGACCAAACUUGAUCCCCGAUCUCUCAAGUGUAUAUUUUUGGGCUAUUCUCCACUUAAAAAAGGAUACAAAUGCUAUUCUCCUCACACCAGGAAAAUAUACAUUUGCAGAGAUGUAACAUUUGUUGAAAACCUGCCUUUCUAUUCCAAAACUGAUGUUCAGGGAGAGAGUACGAGCGAACAUCAGCCUUGGGAAUCUUCUUGGCAAUCUUGGCUGGAAACCCCUCAUGAAAACCCUCAUAACUCAACCACCACACAUGAUCAAUCUAUCCAACAGCCACAAUCAGCAAUCCUUCCAACAUCUUCACAGCUUUUUGAGUCAUCUGAGUCCUCCCAACCACAAUCAACCGAGUCACCCCGUCAUCCAUCAGCUCAUCAACUACAGCCUCUAAUCUCACCUAUUCCACAGCUUGCUGUUGAUAAUCUCAAUGUUUAUAGGAGGAGAAGAACUGGAGAGCAGAUAGAGCACGGAACUCAGCCAUAUGUCCAAGAAACUGAACCAAAUCCAAGCUCUUGUGAAGACAACACAGGUAUGGAUAGUCUUGCCUCGGUUGAGUUCAUGGUUCCAAGUGUUGAUAAUUCUAAUAAAUCAAUUGCAGAAAGAAAAGGGGUUCGAAGUUGCACCACUCAUCCAAUUGCCAAAUAUGUCUCAUAUGAUGGUUUGUCCUCAUCAUACCAAGCCUUUGUUUCUUCUUUAGAUAAUCUACAUGUUCCCAACAAUAUACAAGAGGCUCUCGGUCAUCCUGAGUGGAAGAGAGCUGUUCAUGAAGAAAUAAAUGCUCUUGAGAAAAAUGAUACAUGGGUUAUAACAGAUCUUCCUGCAGGGAAACGACCAGUUGGAUGUAAGUGGAUUUUUACUGUUAAAUACAAGGCAGAUGGAAGUGUUGAGAGGCUCAAAGCUCGUCUUGUAGCUAAAGGGUUCACACAGUCAUAUGGGAUUGAUUAUCUAGAAACCUUUGCUCCGGUUGCGAAGCUCAACACCAUCAGAAUCUUGCUCUCCUUAACAGUAAAUCUAGAUUGGUACUUAUACCAACUAGAUAUAAAAAAUGCGUUUCUCAAUGGCGAUCUUGAAGAAGAAGUGUUUAUGGAAGUUCCCCAGGGUCUUGAUCUGAAUCUUACUGGAAAUAAAGUGUGCAAGCUCAAGAAAUCUUGUAUGGGCUUAAGCAAUCCCCUCGAGCAUGGUUUGAUAGAUUUGCGAAGGCAGUUGUGAGACUUGGUUACACUCAGUGUCAGGCAGAUCACACUCUAUUCCUCCGAACAUCACAAGCAAAGAAGAUCUCUCUCCUAAUCGUAUAUGUUGAUGACAUCAUUCUCUCAGGAAAUGAUGAGGAAGAACUGCAGAAGUUGAAGAAACAGCUAGCUCAGGAAUUCGAAGUUAAAGAUCUAGGGAAUCUGAAAUAUUUUCUUGGGAUGGAGGUGGCAAGAUCUAGAAAGGGAAUUGUUGUCUCCCAGAGGAAAUACACCCUGGACCUACUAAAGGAGACUGGUAUGAUUGGGUGCAAACCAGUAGAUACUCCUAUGGAUCCCUACAAGAAACUAGGCACAGUUGAGAAUAGUGUUCCAGUCAAUAGGGGGAGAUAUCAAAGGCUGGUUGGUCGUUUAAUCUAUCUCUCACAUACCCGUCCGGACAUAGGCUUUGCUGUUAAUGCUGUGAGCCAAUUCAUGCACAAUCCUACAGAGGAACACAUGGAUACAGUCUUUAGAAUUCUGAAGUAUCUGAAGAUGACACCUGGAAAAGGAUUGUUUUUCAAGAAAUCAGAAUAUAGGAAUAUUGAGAUCUACUCCGAUGCAGACUGGGCUGGAGACGUCACAAAUAGAAGAUCAACAUUUGCUUACUGUUCCUAUGUCUGGGGAAAUCUAGUAACCUGGAGGAGUAAGAAACAAUCUGUUGUAGCUAGGAGUAGUACAGAAGCAGAGUUCAGAGCUUUGGCAAAUGGAAUCUGUGAAGGAAUUUGGAUAAAGCGUGUACUCAAGGAACUCGGUGUGUGCAGCCCUUCAUCCAUUCUAAUGAGAUGUGACAAUCAAGCAGCAAUCAGCAUCGCUAAAAACCCAGUGCAUCAUGAUCGAACCAAACAUGUCGAGAUUGAUAGGCACUUCAUCUCAGAGAAGGUCACUAGUGGAAGUGUGGAAUUAAAGUACAUUCCAACUAGACAACAAAUUGCAGACAUCCUUACUAAAGCACUGCCAAGACCUAACUUUGAAGACUUAAGUAACAAGCUGGGUUUGUAUGAUAUACACACACCAGCUUGAGGGGGAGUGUUGAAAAUAAAGAUUCAAAGUUAGGAUUUAUUUGUAAUCUAGGCUAUUUUAGGAAUAAGUUAAAUUAUAAUGGGAAGAUUCAUUAGGAUUCUUUCCAGAUUUUGUUUCUUAUUAUUUAGGAAAUGAUAGAUGUAGUCUCCUAUUUUCUCUCCUAUUUUGCUGUAUAUAUUCCCUGUACAUACUGUUCUGGAAAGUAAGAAAAAGAGGAACCAAUUCACGGUUUUCUUCACUUAUGAAGCAAAAAGGCCUUCCGAUCUCUAACCACCCUCUCCUCUUUAGUUUUGCAAGAAAGCCUAGCCAGUAUAGCAAAUUCCGUCACCCAUGGUCGUAAAUCAUGUUCUCCAUCUCUUCCCUGGCCUCCGCCAUUGCCACCCCAAUUCUCAUCUUCUGCCGGUAGGCAUGGGAAAUUUGAUGGAGACUCAGCAACAGAUGGAGGUACAAGCCAUGUAUUAGCUCGAAAUCCAUAGGGAAGAUUACCAAACUGAAGAAGGAUAUUGAAUAUACUAUAUCAGUAAAAUCAAGUUAAAAUCACAUUUGAAUUGGUAAUCAACUAUGUCAGCAUAGAAAUUGUUACCUUAUUAUGUUCAACAAAAGCUUUCAUUAGGGAUUCAUAUGCCUGCAUCACGCAUAAUGACCAUAAUUAUUAACAAAACAAUUGAUGGGUAAGCUAAUUGAAUUUACAAAGGAAAAAAAGAUGCAUUCAGAUAAAAAAGAAAAAGAAAAUCUGUAGAUUCAACUAUUGAGUACCCACAUUGGCAAAAGCUCGACUGAGAUUUUGCAGAAGAUCCACCAGGGAGUUGCUUUGGAAACCUGCUUUCCCAAAGUAUAGAACCCUUUUACUGAUGCAACUACUUGUAUAAGCUUUCCAUUGCAGAUUUUUAUCUGUGAAAAUAAUUCAUGCAUUCUUAUUAAUUAGCAGACAAUGAUUAUUAAAUCUUUAACACUCAUUGGCCAAUUCAUCAGCAAAAAUAAUGAGUUGAAUAACUCUACAAUUAAUUAGUCCUUAAACAACAAACAACAAUAAUCAGAACUUUAUAUUAAAUGGCACCUGAAUUUCAAAAUAAUCACGGUCGCGCUUCUCUCCUUCUUUGCGUUCACAUUUUCUCAAAUCUUCAAAAUCAAAAUUAUUAAAAAUUAAAAUCAAUAAAAAAAUUUCAUAUUCAAAUAAAUCAUAUAUAUUUAUUUCAUUUUCCUCUUUUUUUUUUUUUAAUCGACCAUGUAAAAAACGAAGACAAAUAAAUAAUUGGACAUUAGGCUUACUCAAGAUGGGGGGAGCGAGGUGAGAGAAAGAGAAGAAGUCAGAAAACUCGGAGGGUUUCGGCGCCGGGUGAAUGACCGCCAUGUCCAGACUCAGAGAAACCGCCGAUGAAACUGGCGAUGACGUGGCGCGGGGCCCGCUUCGGUUAUCUGCUGCUGCUGUUGCUGCUCCAUCAGACAGAGCGGCAAAGUUUGGUGAACGCGGGUGGGGCCUACUGCCGUUCUUUUUGGCACAUGACUCUGACGGUGGCGGCAAUCGGGAGUUUCUGGACUUGGAGAACCAUGUGGUGCACGCGACGACGUCGAGAAGCUGCCGCACGUGUGCCACGGCCUGAGAUUCCUCGGUGUAUUCCUCUGCGAAGGACAGUGCCAAAAAUGUAAAUAACAAGGAAUUGCCGGGCAAAGUUUUUUUUCUUUUAUUAUUUUAGUUCUUUCUAUUAAAUAUUAACUUAAUUAUAAGUAGAAAAUAAUUAUAGCACUAAACUAUUAUUUUCUUUUAUUAUCUUAGCACUAAACUAUUCGUCAAACUUAUUUUUGAAAAUAAUUUUUUUAUAAUUAAAAUACUUCUAGAUUAAAUUUUAAUUAUAAGCACUAAAAAAUGAGAAAAAAAAAUAAAAUUUUCACUCUUUAAACAAGCCUUUACAUAUAAUUUUGUUAAACUCUAAUCAUAUUAAUUAUUCAUGAUAAAGUUACUAAUUCUAAAAUAAUACACUUCUGUAAACCUUCUUGCUCUGUUUACAUGUCUGCCAACUAAUUUUUUUAAUAGAUUAAAAUUUACGGUUGGUUGAAAAUUAGGGAAAUUUACACCAAUAACUAUAAAAGUUUUGACUUUUUCCAUCUUAACCCCCCAAACAAAUUUCUAUCAACAAUAGCCAUAAAAGAACCUUUGAGACCAAAAUACCUCUUUCUCUCAUUUCUCCCCCAACACUCUCUUUCACCCAUCUCUCCCAAACCGAAGAAACUCUCAUCAUCGGUGGCAACAUCAGCCCUCCUCGGCAGCGGCUCCAUCCCUCAUCGGUGUCCGAUCUACCAUCUACAGCCUUCAACAAAACCUAGGUUAGCCAUUUUACUUAUUUUCAUUAAUUUAAAAUGAAAUUUCAUAAUCUAUAUAAUUUAAAAAAAAAAAGAGAGAUAAUAAAAUAUAUAUACCUCGUGAGAGAGAGAAUAAUUUGUGAGGUGGCAAGUUUCUACAUUGGAAGCCAACAAUUUUUUCACAUCAAGUAUCUUGUCAGUGGAGAUGCCCUUUGAGCAAAUUUUAAUUAAAAAAAAAAAGAUGAUUAAUUAAUAAUUCAUUUAUAUUUAUAAAGUUUUAAAAAAUAAUAUGCUAAUCAUAGCUGGGGAGGGCAAAACAAGAAAGUAUUAAUGAUAAGUAUAAAUGUAUACCUUGAGAACAACUUGUGAUUCAUAUGGGGUGAUGAUUGCGAUAUCAAGAACACUGGGUACUACUGCACAACAAAAAAAUAUCAAUGAACAUAACGAAGCUAUGGAGCAUAAGCACAAUCAAACAUGCAGGCUAAAAAUAAUUGAAUAAAUAUAUGUAAUAUGCAGGCUAAAAAUAAUUGAUGGUGUUGUGGAAGUUUGAAUUCAUAGAUUUACAGCUCGGUCUAAAUGUUCAUUAAGUAUAAUUUAAAAAUCAGCAUUGUAUCUAUUGUUACUAAUGUUUGAAUAAAUAUAUGUAUCCUUUUAUCAAAAAUGGAUUAUAAAGAGCUUUGAUGGAGAUUGUUAGGGAGAAACUCUUGUGGAGCCAACACGCGAGGAUCCAAUGGAUCGCACAGCGGCAUCAACGAAUUUUUCAUUUAAAAAAUAUAUAAAAUUACAUUAUUUUAAUUUAUAAAUCCCAUCAGACCUGCCAAAUUAAUGUGCAGGCGCGCGCCUCCUCAACCUUUUCUCGGAUUGUUGGGGACUGCAGACUGCAGCUCACGGUUGAAUUUUCCCCGUAGCGUUCUUGACGUACGCCAAUAUUUUAAUCAGCUUUAACUUUAAGCCUCUGUUUUAUAAAAAUUAUUUCACCAGCAGAUUACAUGUAUUUUGGCAAGUUUACAUUGUGAAAGAAAGAUGUAUUCAAAAGGCACAAAUUGUUUAUUCGUUAUGGUCGUGAUUUGGUGGGCGAAUCUACUGUAAAGCCUUGUAUUCAUUUACCUGAUUACGGUCAUCAGUAUCUUUUACUUAUUCGUUCACUUUUCCUUUCGUUAGUUAUUGCAGAAACGCGUUUGAGUAGCUAUUAAAAUUAUGGUGAUCACGUGAGCUGCGGAAAAAAAAAAAAUGGUCGUGGCAAUGAACAAGUACAAAGAAAAGAAAUGGGAUUUGAAAACAACUCUCACUAUCCGGCUGAGACGCCGCAAUUUCCUUAUGCAGUAAAUGUUGUUGUACGUUCACAAGUGAAGUGUGAAGCUAACAUUUCACUUUGCCAAUAGCCAUGCACGUCAAACUAACCAAUUAAUUUGCAUCUUCAGUUAUUUCUUUGGUCGGUACUAAAGUCAAACUUAUUUUACCACAAUAUUCAAGUCAAUAUUUCAACAUUCUUUUCUCUCUUUCAUCUGGUCAAAUAUUUUAAUUCACUCGUAUCUUGCUAAAGCAGAUGUAAUAUUCUCACUUACUUUGUUUAAAACUAGCUAGAUAUACGAUAGCAACUUAUUUGAAUGAUGUGCUAGAAAUCCAUCCAAGUGAAACUUAGGGUGCGUUUGGGAUUGAGGUUGGGCAGCUGUAGCUUAAAAGCUACAGCACUAAAGUGUUUGGUAAACACUAGCUGUUGUAGCUUUUAACCUAUGUUGAUAUAAUUUUUCACUUGUAUAAUAUAAAAUUUAUUAUAUCUUUAAUAAUUUUGAUAAAAUUAUUAUUUAAAAUUUAUAUUUACUAUAUAUUAUUAACUUUUAUUUCAUAAUUACAGCUUUUUUUUCACAGCAGCUGUAGCUUAAAAGCUAUAACACCUCAAUCCCAAACACACCCUUAAAGGAGACAAUCCAACAUGCAGGCUCUAAAACUAAUUUGUGGUAUGUUGGAAGUUUGAAUUUAUAGAUUUAAAGCUCAGUCCAAAGAUUUAAUAAUAUUAGGUGUAAUUUGAAGAUCAGUAAUAUUUCUAUUUUUAUCUAUAUUUUAUUAAAAGUGGAUUAUAAAGAGGCCAGAUGAGGAUUGUUGAGGACUGCAGGCCGCAGGCCACGACAAGAGCCUGACCGCUCAAUGCCUCUUUACAAAAACUUUUUCUGUUCACGAAAAACGUUUCUGAAAAUGUCUAGCCAAAAGCUAAAGGCAUUUCCAUUUCAUUAUUUUUCGUUUUCAGAAACAGAAAACACUUAUAAAGCCAAAUUACAUGGUAACUCAAGAUGUCACGUGAUUUGCACAUGAUGCAUUUAAGUGAGCUUGAUCAAAAAUUAAAAUUUUUUUUUUUCUAAAGGAAAGGGUGAGUAAAGACAACUUAUUUUUUAACCUCUUAUUCCAAAUUCAGACUCGAAUAGUCAACUAAGUAAAAAUGCUUUCAAAUACUUGACCAUGUCUUUUUGGGCAAAUAGAACAAAUUGAGAAAUCACACUUGAUUGUGAAGGAAUUAGUUCUGCCAUCUCAACUGAAAACUUGUUUAUUUGCAUUGCAACUGGUUUUGUUUAAUUUUUAUGGGGUUUUUGAUGUUUCCAUCACUUGAUGUUCAAUUGCAAUUGUAUGUUACCUUAACAAGCAUUUGGUGAUUUUCCAGUAGCUAAUUUCUUUACACCAACAUUUUACUCAACUAAACUUUAAGCCUUUAUUUUAUCAAACUAAUUCACCAGUAGAUAACAUGUAUUUUUUGGCAAGAGUUUACAUUGCGAAAGAAAGAUAAGCCUAAGUUCACUCGUAUCGUGCUAAAGCAGAUGCAUUAUUAUUGGACGAAAAAGCACAAUUGGUGGUCUAAUCUACUGUAAAGUCUUGUAUUUAUUUGCAUAAUUACGGCCAUCAGUAUCUUUUACUGCAUUCACUUCUUUUUUUUUCUUUAAUUAUCAAGGAAACGCGGUUUAAGUAAUUAUCAAAAUUAUGUUAAAUAUUUGUGAGCCCAUUAUAGGACAGAGUGUGAGUCCCCACUAACAAAUAAUGGGACUGAUAUACAAAAUAGCGACCCUCAAAAUCCAGCUGAGAUGUCGCAAUUUCCUUAUGCUACAAAUGUUGACACUGGACUGGUAAAAGUGUGUGGCUAACAUUUCACUUUGCCAAAGGCCAGGCCCGUGAAAUCAACCAUUUUGCAUCUUCAAUUAUUUCACAAGCAGAUAACAUGUAUCAACAGGUAAUAUUCUCUCACUUACUUUUUUCAAUCAAUGCAUGUUUUCUCAUUGACAGGGCACGUGAAAAUGCGCAAAAUUUUCAUUCUGCACAAAAUUUCCAUCGUAUAUAUAAGUCAUAUAUUUGUUAGAGAACCAGAAAAAAAUCAAGAGAGCAACAAUUGACAGGUAAAUCUUGUGAGUGUUUCUCUCGCAGUUAAUAUUAAUAAUGAAAAUGCUUUUGAUGAAGUUGUCAUUGUGGAUUGGCAUAGCUUUGAUUCAGUUACAUGGAUACAAAGCAUGCUUGGAAACAGAGAGGAUUGCUUUGUUGGAAAUCAAGAGCUUCUUCGCAUCAGCCAGUGAUGUUGGAUAUGAUGACGAAGUUCUUUCUUCAUGAUUUGAUGAUGAUGGAAUGUCGUCUGAUUGUUGUAACGAUUGGGAGAGAAUUAAGUGCAACGCCACCACCCGACGGGUGACGCAACUCUCACUCAAUCAGAAAACAAAAAUCAACUGCUCUGAUUAUAACUCUUUUAUUCUUAUGAAGUUUCUCUUCUGAAUAUGUCAUUGUUUCACCCUUUCGAAGAAUUGCAGUGCCUUGACUUAUCUGAUAAUUGGUUUAAAGGCUUCUAUGAGAAUAAAGGUACUGUUGAUGCAAGAAAUCCGGAUAAGUUGGUCAGAUCUCAGAUCACUACAUCAUCAUUAAAUUUGUUUGGUGGGAAGCUGAUGAUUAGUUAGCACCAUGAGCAGAUUUUCUAUGAGCAGAUGUUCUGUGAGCAGACAACCCAUGAGCAGAUAAUCCAUAAGCAGACGAUCCAUGAGCAGAGAACCCAUGAGCAGACAUCCCAUGACCAGACAAUCCACGAGCAGACAAUCCAUGAGCAGAGAACCCAUGAGCAGACAUCCCAUGAGCAAAUAACCCAUGAGCAGACAAUUCAUGAGCAGAUAACCUGUGAGCCUGUGAACACAACCAACGGUUAGGAGGUGCCGGAAGUUUUUCCGGCGAGAACCCUCCGACGCUCAAGUCAGCGAUUCGGGUCUUACUUGGAAAAACCCAUACCACAAUUCAUGUGGCUUAAUUAUGAUUGCUUUAAACAAAAAGCUUUUAAGUAAAUUUAAAGGAAAAAAAUUCAAAAUAAUCAAUCUUAAAGAAAUCACAGGCGAAAGAGAAAUUUCUCUGUGGUAGAGAGAGAAAAAGGUCCAAUGGGUUCAGUUGCUUAGAGAGAGAGAGAGAGCUCGAAGAAUCCCUCAUUUCCUUUCCCUUCAUAGGGUUUUAUAGGAAACUAUAGCGGUUUUCAUCCUCUCCCCUAGAAUUCUUAAGAAAACUACUAAUUUUCAGCCCACUAAGAAUAUGGUCCCUAAUAUUUCGGAGAAAAUGUUUUGACUGAAUCGUGCUUCCUGGUAACUUCCUGGUCGAGGUGACCAAUAACAUCCUGGUCGAGGUGACCUGCUUGAGGUGACCAAUAACCUCCUGGUCGAGGUGAUGUGCUCGAGGUCACCACAUAUUAUUCUAGUUGAGGUGACCAAUAACAUCAUGGUCGAGAUGAUCUACUCGAGGUGACCAAUAACCUCCUGGUCGAUGUGAUGUGCUCGAGGUCACCACAUAUUAUUCUGGUCGAGGUGACCAAUAACAUCCUGGUCGAGGUCACCAAAUAACAUCCUGGUCGAGGUGACCUGCUCAAGGUGACCAACAACCUCCUGGUCGAGGUGAUGUGCUCGAGGUCACCACAUAUUAUUCUGGUCGAGGUGACCAAUAACAUCAUGGUCGAGAUGAUCUGCUCGAGGUGACCAAUAACCUCCUGGUCGAGGUGAUGUGCUCGAGGUCACCACAUAUUAUUCUGGUCGAGGUGACCAAUAACAUCCUGGUCGAGGUGAUCUGCUCGAGGUCACCAAAUAACAUCCUGGGCGAGGUGAUCUGCUCAACCAUUUGCUCAUUUUUACUUUAGAGGACAACAUGAUAAUGUAUGAGCAAACACCUUUAUCUUGGUCACCAUAUUUCAUUCCCUAAACACCAGUCCCCCAGUUUUUAGUGUUGAGAGUGAAACGAAUUAAGACUGGAAACUUUGGUGGUUUGCUCGCUUUCGCUUGGUCGAGGAGAUCCUGGUAUGCUUGGCUUCCUGUCUCGCCAUAAAACAGGCUUUGAGACUUUGGAGCCUUUGCACGCCUUAGAAAUUUUUUGGUACUUUGGUGGUUUGCUCGCAUUCGCUUGGUUGAGCAGAUCCUGGCAUGCUUGGCUUCCUGUCUCGCCAUAAAACAGGCUUUGAGACUUUGGAGUCUUUGCACGCCUUAGAAACUUUUUGGAACUUUGGUGAUCUGCUCGCCUUCGCUUGGUCGAGCAGAUCCUGGCGUGCUUGGCUUCCUGUCUCGCCAUAAAACAGGCUUUGAGACUUUGGAGCCUUUGCACGCCUUAGAAACUUUUUGGAACUUUAGUGGUCUGCUCGCUUUUGCUUGGUCGAGCAGAUCCUAGCACGCUUGGCUUCUGGUCUCGCCAUAAACAGGCUUUGAGACUUAGUGAGCCUUUGCAGGCCUUAGGAUUUUUUACAACGCUUGGGAGUCUGCUCGCCUUCGCUUGGUCGAGCAGAUCCUGGCACCCUUGGCUUCUGGUCUCGCCAUAAACAGGCUUUGAGACUUUGGUGAGCCUUUGCAUGCUUUAGGAACUUUUACAACGCUUGGGAGUCUGCUCGCCUUCGCUUGGUCGAGCAGAUCCUGGCACGCUUGACGUCUGGUCUCGCCAUAAACAGGCUUUGAGACUUUGGUGAGCCUUUGCAUGCUUUAGGAAUUUUUACAACGCUUGGGAGUCUGCUCGCCUUCGCUUGGUCGAGCAGAUCCUGGCACGCUUGACGUCUGGUCUCGCCAUAAACAGGCUUUGACACUUUGGUGAGCCUUUGCAUGCUUUAGGAAUUUUUACAACGCUUGGGAGUCUGCUCACCUUCGCUUGGUCGAGCAGAUCCUGGCAUGCUUGGCUUCCUGUCUCGCCAUAAAACAGGCUUUGAGACUUUGGAGCCUUUGCACGCCUUAGAAACUUUUUGGAACUUUAGUGGUCUGCUCGCUUUUGCUUGGUCGAGCAGAUCCUAGCACGCUUGGCUUCUGGUCUCGCCAUAAACAGGCUUUGAGACUUAGUGAGCCUUUGCAGGCCUUAGGAUUUUUUACAACGCUUGGGAGUCUGCUCGCCUUCGCUUGGUCGAGCAGAUCCUGGCACGCUUGGCUUCUGGUCUCGCCAUAAACAGGCUUUGAGACUUUGGUGAGCCUUUGCAUGCCUUAGGAAUUUUUACAACGCUUGGGAGUCUGCUCGUCUUCGCUUGGUCGAGCAGAUCCUGGCACGCUUGGCUUUUGGUCUCGCCAUAAACAGGCUUUGAGACUUUGGUGAGCCUUUGCAUGCCUUAGGAAUUUUUACAACGCUUGGGAGUCUGCUCGCCUUCGCUUGGUCGAGCAGAUCCUGGCACACUUGGCUUCUGGUCUCGCCAUAAACAGGCUUUGAGACUUUGGUGAGCCUUUGCAUGCCUUAGGAAUUUUUACAACGCUUGGGAGUCUGCUCGCCUUCGCUUGGUCGAGCAGAUCCUGGCACGCUUGGCUUUUGGUCUCGCCAUAAACAGGCUUUGAGACUUUGGUGAGCCUUUGCAGGCCUUAGGAUUUUUUACAACGCUUGGGAGUCUGCUCGCCUUCGCUUGGUCGAGCAGAUCCUGGCACGCUUGACGUCUGGUCUCGCCAUAAACAGGCUUUGAGACUUUGGUGAGCCUUUGCAUGCUUUAGGAAUUUUUACAACGCUUGGGAGUCUGCUCACCUUCGCUUGGUCGAGCAGAUCCUGGCAUGCUUGGCUUCCUGUCUCGCCAUAAAACAGGCUUUGAGACUUUGGAGCCUUUGCACGCCUUAGAAACUUUUUGGAACUUUAGUGGUCUACUCGCUUUUGCUUGGUCGAGCAGAUCCUAGCACGCUUGGCUUCUGGUCUCGCCAUAAACAGGCUUUGAGACUUAGUGAGCCUUUGCAGGCCUUAGGAUUUUUUACAACGCUUGGGAGUCUGCUCGCCUUCGCUUGGUCGAGCAGAUCCUGGCACGAUUGGCUUCUGGUCUCGCCAUAAACAGGCUUUGAGACUUUGGUGAGCCUUUGCAUGCUUUAGGAAUUUUUACAAUGCUUGGGAGUCUGCUCGCCUUCGCUUGGUCGAGCAGAUCCUGGCACGCUUGACGUCUGGUUUCGCCAUAAACAGGCUUUGAGACUUUGGUGAGCCUUUGCAUGCUUUAGGAAUUUUUACAACGCUUGGGAGUCUGCUCACCUUCGCUUGGUCGAGCAGAUCCUGGCACGCUUGGCUUCUAGUCUCGCCAUAAACAGGCUUUGAGACUUUGGUGAGCCUUUGCAUGCCUUAGGAAUUUUUACAACGCUUGGGAGUCUGCUCGUCUUCGCUUGGUCGAGCAGAUCCUGGCACGCUUGGCUUUUGGUCUCGCCAUAAACAGGCUUUGAGACUUUGGUGAGCCUUUGCAUGCCUUAGGAAUUUUUACAACGCUUGGGAGUCUGCUCGCCUUCGCUUGGUCGAGCAGAUCCUGGCACGAUUGGCUUCUGGUCUCGCCAUAAACAGGCUUUGAGACUUUGGUGAGCCUUUGCAUGCUUUAGGAAUUUUUACAACGCUUGGGAGUCUGCUCGCCUUCGCUUGGUCGAGCAGAUCCUGGCACGCUUGACGUCUGGUCUCGCCAUAAACAGGCUUUGAGACUUUGGUGAGCCUUUGCAUGCUUUAGGAAUUUUUACAACGCUUGGGAGUCUGCUCACCUUCGCUUGGUCGAGCAGAUCCUGGCACGCUUGGCUUCUGGUCUCGCCAUAAACAGGCUUUGAGACUUUGGUGAGCCUUUGCAUGCCUUAGGAAUUUUUACAACGCUUGGGAGUCUACUCGUCUUCGCUUGGUCGAGCAGAUCCUGGCACGCUUGGCUUUUGGUCUCGCCAUAAACAGGCUUUGAGACUUUGGUGAGCCUUUGCAUGCCUUAGGAAUUUUUACAACGCUUGGGAGUCUGCUCGUCUUCGCUUGGUCGAGCAGAUCCUGGCACGCUUGACUUCUGGUCUCGCCAUAAACAGGCUUUGGGACUUUGGUGAGCCUUUGCAUGCCUUAGGAAUUUUUACAACGCUUGGGAGUUUGCUCGCAACGAGAAGCCAAUUUGUUGUCUCUAUCAAUUUUCAUCUAGUCGAAGCAAAUCAGAAUGUUACAGUGCAUAAAUGGAUGAUCUUGCUUAAACAAGGAAGAAACAACCUUAAAUGAGAGCACAUUGAAGGCACACGUUUGCAAAAAUCAGAACAUGUCAGAAGUUAAAUUUUUAUUUACAAGCAAUUUUUUCAUGAAAUUUUAAUUAUUUCUCUAAAUCCUGCUAUGUGAGAUGAGGAUACCUUAUAUUCAUUAAAUUGAUUGUGCUCAUAUUAGGGCUGACGUUAUAACUUAGUUAACUUGAUUUCUUGAAAGUUACUCAAUAUGAGAAUGAUUUAAGAAAAGAGAGCUAGGCUAGCGUUGAGAAACCAAUCAAAGUUUACUAAUAAGGCGUGCAAAGGCUCCAAAGUCUCAAAGCUUGUUUUAUGGCGAGACAAGAAGCCAAGCUUGUCAGGAUCUGCUCGACCAAGUGAAGGUGAGCAGACCACCAAAGUUCCAAAAAGUUUCGAAGGCAUGCAAAGGCUCACCAAGUCUCAAAACAUGUUUUAUGGCGAGACCAGAAGCCAAGCGUGCCAGGAUCUGCUCGACCAAGCGAUGGCGAGCAGAAUCCCAAGCAUACAAAAAUUUCGAAGGCAUGCAAAGACUCACCAAGUCUCAAAGCCUGUUUUAUGGCGAGACCAGAAGUCAAACGUGCCAGGAUCUGCUCGACCAAGCGAUGGUGAGCAGAAUCCCAGGUAUACAAAAAUUUCAAAGGCAUGCAAAGGCUCACCAAAUCUCAAAGCCUGUUUUAUGGCGAGACCAGAAGCCAAGCGUGCCAGGAUCUGCUCGACCAAGCAAAGGCGAGCAGAAUCCCAAGCAUACAAAAAUUUCGAAGGCAUGCAAAGACUCACCAAGUCUCAAAGCCUGUUUUAUGGCGAGACCAGAAGUCAAGCGUGCCAGGAUCUGCUCGACCAAGCGAUGGCGAGCAGAAUCCCAAGCAUACAAAAAUUUCGAAGGCAUGCAAAGGCUCACCAAGUCUCAAAGCCUGUUUUAUGGCGAUACCAGAAGCCAAGCGUGCCAGGAUCUGCUCGACCAAGCGAUGGCGAGCAGAAUCCCAAGCAUACAAAAAUUUCGAAGGCAUGCAAAGACUCACCAAGUCUCAAAGCCUGUUUUAUGGCGAGACCAGAAGUCAAGCGUGCCAGGAUCUGCUCGACCAAGCGAUGGCGAGCAGAAUCCCAAGCAUACAAAAAUUUCGAAGGCAUGCAAGGACUCACCAUGUCUCAAAGCCUGUUUUAUGGCGAGACCAGAAGUCAAGCGUGCCAGGAUCUGCUCGACCAAGCGAUGGCGAGCAGAAUCCCAAGCAUACAAAAAUUUCGAAGGCAUGCAAAGGCUCACCAAGUCUCAAAGCCUGUUUUAUGGCGAGACCAGAAGCUAAGCGUGCCAGAAUCUGCUCGACCAAGCAAAGGCGAGCAGAAUCCCAAGCAUACAAAAAUUUCGAAGGCAUGCAAAGGCUCACCAAAUAUCAAAACCUGUUUUAUGGCGAGACCAGAAGACAAACGUGCCAGGAUCUGCUCGACCAAGCGAAGGCGAGCAGAAUCCCAAGCAUACAAAAAUUUCGAAGGCAUGCAAAGGCUCACCAAGUCUCAAAGCAUGUUUUAUGGCGAGACCAGAAGCCAAGCGUGCCAGGAUCUGCUCGACCAAGCGAAGGCGAGCAGACCACCAAAGUUCCAAAAAGUUUCUAAGGCGUGCAAAGGCUCCAAAGUCUCAAAGCAUGUUUUAUUACGAGACAGGAAGCCAAGCAUGCCAGGAUCUGCUCGACCAAGCGAAGGCGAGUAGACCACCAAAGUUUCCAGUCUUGAUUCGUUUCACUCUCAACACUAGAAACUGGGGGACUGGUGUUUAGGGAAUGAAAUAAGGUGACCAAGAUAAAGGUGUUUGCUCAUACAUUAUCGUGCUCUCCUCAAAGUAAAAGUGAGCAAAUGGUAUAGCAGAUCACCUCGACCAGGAUGUUAUUAGUCACCUCGAGCAGAUCACCUCGACCAGGAUAUUAUUGGUCACCUCGACCAGAAUAAUAUGUGGUGACCUCGAGCACAUCACCUCGACCAGGAUGUUAUUGGUCACCUCGAUUAGAAUAAUAUGUGGUGACCUCGAGCACAUCACCUCGACCAGGAUGAUAUUGGUCACCUCGAGCAGAUCACCUCGAGCAGGAUAUUAUUGGUCACCUCGACCAGAAUAAUAUGUGGUGACCUCGAGCACAUCACCUCGACCAGGAUGUUAUUGGUCACCUCGACCAGAAUAAUAUGUGGUGACCUCGAGCACAUCACCUCGACCAGGAUGUUAUUGGUCACCUCGAGCAGAUCACCUCGAUCAGGAUAUUAUUGGUCACCUCGACCAGAAUAAUAUGUGGUGACCUCGAGCACAUCACCUCGACCAGGAUAUUAUUGGUCACCUCGACCAGAAUAAUAUGUGGUGACCUCGAGCACAUCACCUCGACCAGGAUAUUAUUGGUCACCUCGACCAGGAAGUUACCAGAAAGCACGAUUCAGUCAAAAUAUUUUCUCCGAAAUAUUAGGGACCAUAUUCUUAGUGGGCUGAAAAUUAGUAGUUCUCUUGAGAAUUCUAGGGGAGAGGAUAAAAACCACUAUAGUUUCCUAUAAAAACCCUAGGAAGGGGAUUCUUCGAGCUCUCUCUCUCUCUCUAAGCAACUGAACCCAUUGGACAUUUUUCUCUCUCUACCACUGAGAAAUUUCUCUUUCGCCUGUGAUUUCUUUAAGAUUGAUUAUUUUGAAUUCUUUUCCUUUAAAUUUACUUAAAAGCUUUUUGUUUAAAGUAAUCAUAAUUAAGCCACAUGAAUUGUGGUAUGGGUUUUUCCAAGUAAGACCCGAAUCGCUGACUUGAGCGUCGGAGGGUUCUUGCCGGAAAAACUUCCGGCACCUCCUGACCGUUGGUUGUGUUCACAGGCUCACAGGUUAUCUGCUCAUGAAUUAUCUGCUCAUGGGUUAUCUGCUCAUGGGAUGUCUGCUCAUGGGUUCUCUGCUCAUGGAUCGUCUGCUCGUGGAUUGUCUGCUCAUGGGUUCUCUGCUCAUGGAUCGUUUGCUCAUGGAUUAUCUGCUCAUGGGUUGUCCGCUCACAGAACAUCGGCUCAUAGAAAAUCUGCUCAUGGUGCUAACUAAUCAUCAGCUUCCCACCAAACAAAUUUAAUGAUGAUGCAGUGAUCUAAGAUCUGACCAACUUAUCCGGAUUUCUUGCAUCAACAGGUACAAGCAUAUGUAUAUAUUACUCAUUCGUAAUUAUUUUGUCAGUGACUAAUUAAUGAUAAUAAUUCAUAUGCAUUUGCAGCUUACGACAGCUUGGGGAGUUUGAAACAGCUGAAGGUCUUAAAUCUUGGUGGUGAUUUCCUCAACGACAACAUAUUACCAUAUUUGAAUACACUAACUUCACUUACCACUCUGAAUCUUCGUUCCAAUAACAUUGAAGGUUCCAGAAUCAAGCAAGGUAUAUAUGUUUGAUACCAUCUUGCUGGCUUCAGCCUGUGUACAUGCGCGCAUUGCAACCAAGACACUGGGAAAGUGGCCUCGUAGUCAUUUUUUUUUCCUUUUCUUUUUCUCUAAACUUCGUUUUCGGAACACAUGAAAUCUAUCAAUUAGAAAGGGAGGGAAAAAAAAAAUCGUAGUAACUAUUAAUUGUUGACCAUUGACCCAAACUCUGACAUCAAUAACAAAUUUUUAAAAUAUCUAAAUAGAUUUAUUAAAUAAUAAAUGCUAAUAGUAUUUUUUUUUUAAAUAUUACUUAUAAUACAAUUGUUAAAUCUUAUAAAUUAUUCAUAAGACUAAUAAAUAGAAGGUAAAAUAAAUAAAUUAAUAUAAAAUUAUUAACUCGUAAAACAAUUAACAUGGUUUUAAUUCAUUUAUUUUAAUGGACUAAAACCGCUGACCAAAAUAAUUAGGAAAUUUGAUUUUUAUCUGUUUUUAAGUCUUGUAUUGGAUUUUGACCGAAUUCGCUAUAAUUAGUUUUCAUUCUAUAAAAUUUUAAUAUUUUAUUUUCAAGUUUAGGAAUAUGUAAUUUGAAGAAUCUUUUUGAGUUGGAUCUAAGCUCAAAUAACUUUGAGGGUCACAUUCCUCAGUGUCUCAACAACUUAACGCAUCUCAAAGUUCUUGAUAUUUCUAAUAAUCAAUUAAGUGGAAAAGUUCCUUCUAUCUUGACCAACCUCACAUCACUUGAAUAUUUAGAUCGUUUUUCCAUUAAUUUCCAAGGAACAGUCUCAAUAAAUUCAUUGGCUAAUCAUUCGAGGUCUUGUUAAUCUCAUCAGGAAGCAAUAUGUUACAAGUGAAAACUGAAACCUGGCACCCCACAUCUCAAUUGAAGGUUCUCAAAUUAUCCGACUGCCACUUACAUGUCAUUCCUAGUUUUCUUUUACAACAGUACCACUUAAAAUUCCUUGACCUCUCUAAUAAUAAGGUGGUUGGCAAUUUCCCAAUUUGGUUGUUCCAAAACAACACAAGAUAAAAAUAUUUGUCUUUGGCGAACAACUCACUCUCAGGAAUUCUUCAUCUACUUCCCAAUGCCAAACACGAUAUGCUUCGUCAUCAAGAUAUUUCCAAUAACAAUUUCGCUGGUAAGCUACCACGGAAUAUGGGUAUUGUCCUUCGGAAAUUGAUUUAUUUGGAUAUGUCAAAAAAAAUUUUUGAAGGUGAUAUUCCUUAUUCAAUAGGUAAGACGAAAGAGUUAUAUAUGCUGGAUUUGUCUAUAAAUAAUUUUUCAGGAGAAUUAGCCCGAUCUAUAGUCUCUACUUGCGUCGCUCUAGAUUUGUUAGACCUAUCAAAUAACAAUUUCUAUGGCCAAAUUUUCCCCAAAUAUAUGAACUGGACUCAUUUGCAUUGGUUAUAUUUGGACAACAAUCAUUUCAGUGGAAAGAUGGAUGACUGUUUGAAGAGCUCCACUUCAUUAGAAGGGUUAGAUAUAUGCGAUAACAUGUUAUCCGAUAAUAUUCCUAAUUGGAUUGGUAACAUCUCAACUCUUAGGGUUCUUUUAAUGUCAAAAAAUUAUUUGGAAGCUAAUAUUCUAGUCCAACUCAGCCAACUUAAAAGUCUUGAGCCUAUAGACAUCUUUGAAAAUAGAUUGUCUGGGUCCAUGGUAUCUUCCUUCAAUCUUUCAUCAGUGAAACACCUUUAUUUGCAGAAGAAUGCUAUUACUGGGUAAAUUCCUAAUGCAUUGUUUAGAAGCUCUAAAUUAAUCACUCUAGAUUUGAGGGAUAAUAAAUUCUUUGGUAGGAUUCCUUAUCAGAUCAAUGAGCUUUCGAAUUUGCAUGUUCUUCUUUUAAGAGGGAAUUCUCUACAAGGACAUAUUCCUAAUGAAUUGUGCCAGUUAGCAAAAUUACGUAUCAUGGAUCUUUCAAAUAACAUAUUUAGUGGGUCAAUACCUUCAUGCUUGGGUAACGUGUCAUUCUGGAGAGAAUGAACUAAUUAUUAUUUGUAUGACUAUGGUUUGCUUGAUGAAUACACAGCGUAUCAGGGUUUCUACAUCGAUUCUAUUGCUACUACUUUCUACAAUUCUACUCUUAAUCUUCAACCGCCCACUGAACCACAUGCCUCAAUAAAUCAAACAGUAGAAGCAGAGCUUUGUGGUUCCUUGAUAAGGAAGAAAUGCAGCAGUAAUUAAAACCACCAGCAACACCAACAGAAGGAGCAGAAGAAGAAGAAGACGAUUCGAUGAUUGAUAUGGUGGCAUUAAAAUGGAGUUUUGGCGCGUCCUUUGUGACAGUUAUUUUGGGUUUGUUUGCAGUCCUUUGGAUAAACUCCUAUUGGCGUAGACGGUGGUUCUAUUUCAUUGAUAAAUGUAUUGACACAUGCUACUAUUGGCUCUUCAAAUAUGCAUUCUAUCGGUGAUUGUGCUAGGCCAUUGUAGUAAGUUCCUACGGGUCUGCCGGGUAUAACUUGUCAUGCUGUGUUACGUAUUCCGUCAGCUUUUCUGCAAACUGCUAUGUAUCAGUGUAUGUGUUUGCUAAAAUUCUUAAUUUGGUCCUAAAACUAUGCUCAAGUUUUGAAGUUCCUUCGAGUGGUUUCGUUAAAAUUAGACUUACUGUUUCUUCUGCAGUUUCUGUUGGUUGCAAAUAUAAAUUUAACAACUUCCUGUUGUAUCUCGAACGUGCUUGUGUUGAUUGAAAGAACAUUGAGACUCGAAAUGCUAUAAUCCGAAUGAGCAAUUUUCCCAAAUACUAUGUUGAUUGUAAUAUGAACGGGAUCUCGCGGUGCCACCGAUAUUUCUUUGUAGAACACCGACUUGCAAGCCAUGGCAGUAACGUUUGGAACCUGGGACUCUUCUUUUGAAGAUGGAAAAACUCCAUUUACCAAAUCGAAAAAUGUUUUUCUAGAAUCAAUAACAACAACCAUUAAAUAACAAUAGGAUGGAAGAACUGCACAUAUCGAAAUAAUGGUUUCUUCUCACUCUGUUCAAGGUGAUUGGGGAAAACAAUAAUUAUCACUCUUUGCUGCCCGUCAUCUCUGAAUUUCUAAAGAUGUAGCAGCUUUACCAAGCAACCCUCCCUCAUUGCCUACUAACUAAACAAGCUGGCCCAAUCUCUGGCCAUAAAUAGUUCAGAAUCUUCUAAAAUUUGAAUCCUGUAUGUGAUCUGUAUAAGCAUGUUAGAUUUCUAUUAUAUAUAUAUAUAUAUAUGCUAGAAAUGGAUGUUAUAAUUGGUGCCUUCAGAGUUCACCAAUUAAAGUACAACUUUACUCUGUAUUCAGUAAAUUUGUGCACUGCCCUGACUUCUAUAUACAAGUUAUUAAUAAUAACUUAUGAAUACGAAUGUAUAUAAAUUAAUUUUCUUUAAUUGGGUAAAUUAAUUUUCUUUAAUUGGGCCAAAAAUGAUAUUUCAAAAGCCCAUAAACAAAAAAAUAAAAUAAGUUUUAUAUAUAAAGCGAAUUAAAAAAGAAAGCACUUACCAUUGCUUUGCAAAAGCACACGGGCAUGAGAGGAAGACAAUGGGAAAAUUUUCAUGAUUUAGGAUUUUUCCAAAAUUGAGUUUGGUCUUUCACAACUUGGAUUCGAGAGUCAUUCUAGAGUACUUUUAUCCCUAAGUUCAUUUGUAAAUUCAUUGGAGAGGAAUUUUAAUGUAGGAAGUGUAGAGAAAGGAUUUGAGUGAGAGGGAACUGAUUCAAGCUUUCAAGUUGAAUUUCUCAUCAAAUGGAAUAAGAUUUCUAUCAUUUUAUCUUUACCUGAAAUUGCAUUUACAUGAAAGUAAAAUUAAUUUAAAGAUUAGUAUACUUUUAUUAUAGUAAGGGCUCCCAACAAAUGGGUGUAGUCCGUCCCAAGCUAAUUUUAGUAAUUGGUGGAUCAUUUUAGGUGGACAAAGGCACCAAGGCAUUAGAGCCAAAAUGUGUAGCCCUCACUAUUUCCUCAAUUCGGUAUGUAAAUAGCUUAUUGUUAUAUAUUAUGUUUGGGUAGUUCAUGGUUAAUAAUGAGAUUGGUGAUAAUGUGGAUGAUUUAUUGGUAUUAUAGGAUAUGGAAAUUUAAUUAUUGAGCUGGAAUAUGGAAUUUUGAGCAUAAGGUGUAAUUGAUGGUUUUGAGAGUAUUAGGGUAAUUUUUAUUUACAAAUAAUGGAUUCGAGAGUUAUAAGCUAUGGGAUAAAUAUUCAUUGUGAAUCAUAUCACAUAAAAUUAGUUGUAUUUCUUAUGUUUGGAAAGUAAUUAUUGAUGGGGAAAAAUCAGGUUUUUAAAUUUUUAUAAAACCUUUUGAAGAUCGCUCUCAUAUAAUAUAUAAGAAUUCGUAUUCUAGAAAUCGUACCUUGUAAAUCUGAGUUUGCUUUUUCCGCUGAAGUGAUUUAGGCUCCUAGAUCACGAUCCGCCACCACCACUCCUGUUAGAUCACGAUCCGUCACCACCACGCUUGUUAGAUCACGAACUGUCUCCAAUGAUCUUCCAGGUUAUGACUCAGGUUCGAUCUGCACUUGACGUGUGGGCGCCUUUAUCACUACCAAAGCAACUAGCACGAGAAAAUUUUUCUCUCAACAAUGGAGAGAAAAAUCUUAUUCUCUGAUUUGUAUAAAGUGGCUUCCCCAUUCCUUUUUGGGAAAAUAAGCCUUAUAUAUCUCCCUUUAGUGAAAACCCUAGGCUCCAAGGAUUCCCCCAAAAUAAAACUCACGUUACUUUUCAUUUAAUAGGGGACCCACCAUGUAAAAUAACAUAAGACCCCUUACACAUAAACUUAUUAAAUGGAGCCUCCCACUAAAUGAUAUAUUUAGGCUUUUGACCCAAAUAGCUAGUUAUCUUGCUUAUUAGUCCAGCAGUGGUGCAAUCAAUUAAAUGAGCUAACCCGGGGAUCAUUUGGGAACAUACAAUAGUGGCUACAAUAAUUAGGCCUGUAAUUAAACUAGCCCAAUUAUUUAAUUCCAAAUCUACUCCACUAAAAGAUUGGAACUGACUUCCAUAAUUGUAUGCUCGAAUAAUAAUUCGUCCCAAGCCACAUUGAUUUCUUUACUGCACAAUCCUUUGUACCACAUCGUUAAUUAAAUUGAUAUCUCAACUGUCCAAUCAAUUUAAUAACAUCUUAUUCCUUGAUCCUUACUGGUUUUCUCUAAUGAUCAUUUUCAACAUACUAAAUAUGUUGACACACUCUGGCCAAAGAAUUCUAUGAUCAAGUACCGAAAACCUAUCAAGAGAUGUGUUGUACAAAUUCUAUAUUGUUAAUCCAUAACUCCAAUACUCAUAAUUGCUCCCACCAAGAUACCGGGUAAUCUUGACCACAAGGAUGUGUCGUGCCCAUUGGUAACUCAAAUGAAAUAACAAUCACAAUCAUGAAAUCAUAAUUAACUCAAGAUUAAGAUUACAGUAAAAUCAACGCCUAUGAGAUUUAAUAAGUCUGACAGUUAUUACAAAGUUAAUUAAAUCUCAUAUGUGAUCCUGUUCAAUGUAGUCGUACUACAUCAAUAAAUUCAUACAUGAUUAAGACAAAUCAUUCAAUGAAUUUAUUACAGUCUAUACCUAAAUAAAGUGCCCAACUUUAUUUAUCAACUGCAAACUAAAUUUAUUUAAUCAUAAGAUAACUUGUAUUUAUGUCUUCUGUGAAUCCACAUGGUGAUCACAUAAAUACAUAUAAUAUGAUUAAAUGGACUUUAAUACAAAUAUUAAUGCAAUUAAGAUAUUUGAAUAAAAUACCUCAUUAAUUUUAUUAAUCAGAAAAAAUAUUUAUUACAAAUAAAUAAACACAUAUGCUUUAAAGAGCAUAUUUUCCCAACAAUCUCCCACUAGCUCUCAAAGCAUAUCUGGCAUAUUGCACAUGCUCUAGGGCUCUAAGUGCAGGUUAUAAAGGUUUCCCACUAAUGGCCAUUGUAAUAAGAUCUGCCAUUUAGCAUCUAAUGCCAUUUGGGGUAUUGUCAUAUAACCUUUCUACACUAUUCCCUUAUAAGAUGAUACUUCCUUUCAAUAUGUUUUGUUUCUUGUGGUUCCUUGGUUCCUUAGAUUGAGCUACCGCACCACCAUUAUCACAAAAUAGUUUAAGGGGUGCAGUUACAACAGGUACCACCUCAAGAUUUCGUAGGAACUUGCAGAGCCAUAUAGCUUCUUUUGCAGCUUCAGAUGUAGCCACAUAUUCAGCUUUAGUUGUUGAGUCUGUGAUACAAGAUUGUUUCACACUCAUCCAACUAGUAGCUCCACUUCCCAAUGUAAACACAUAGCCGGAAGUUGAUUUUCUAAAAUCCUUAUCUGACAAAAAAUCAGAAUUAGUAUAACCCACUAGAAUAAGUUCAUCACCAGAAUACACAAGCAUAUAAUUUUAAGUUCUUUUCAGAUACUUCAUUAUAUGCUUGACCGCAGUCCAGUGUUCAGGUCCAGGAUUAGAUUGAUAUCUACUAACCAUCCCUACCGCAAAACAGAUGUCUGGCCUAGUGCAAAGCAUGGCAUUCAUGAGACUUCCCACAGCUUCUGCAUAGGGAACUCGUCUCAUUCUCUCUAUCUCUUCAGAUGUUUUAGGUGAUUGAUCCUUAGAGAAUGUAAUUCCAUGUCUGAAUGGUAAUAAACCAGUCUUGGAAUUUUCCAUACUAAAUCUAGCCAAUAUCUUAUCGAUAUAGACCGCUUGAGACAAGGCUAAAGUUUUAUUCUUCCGGUCUCAUAGUAACUUGAUACCAAGAAUAUAACUUGUCUCUCCCAGGUCUUUCAUAUCAAAUUGUUUUGCUAACCAAAUCUUUAUUGUAGUCAAUACUCCUAUAUCGUUUCCAAUCAGGAGAAUAUUGUCUACACAAAGAACUAGGAAGGCUACAAAUUUUCCCUGAAUUUUCUUGUACACACAUGGUUCAUCAAUGUUCUGAAUGAAUCCAAGUGAUUUAAUCGCUUGAUCAAAUCUGAUGUUCCAUGACUGGGAUGCUUGCUUCAAUCCAUAAAUAGAUCUCUGCAACUUACAUACCAUGUGUUCUUGGCCUUUUUUGUAUAAAUCCAUCUGGUUGCUGUAUGUAGAUGUUUUCUUCAAGAUGCCUGUUAAGAAAGGCAGUCUUGACAUCCAUUUGCCAAAUUUCAUAAUCUAGCACUGCAGCAAUGGAGAGCAGAAUCCUGAUGGAUUUAAGCAUAGCAACCGGAGAAAAAGUUUCCUCAUAAUUGAUUCAUUCUUUCUGAGUAAACCCUUCGGCUACUAAUCUUGCUUUAAAUGUUUCCACAUUUCCGUCUACUCCUCUUUUUCUCUUGUAGAUCCACUUGCACCCUAUAGGUUUUACCCCAUUUGGCGCCUCUACAAGUUCCCAGACUUUAUUGGAAUACAUAGAUUCCAUUUCUUGAUUCAUGGCCUUUUUCAAAAUUCAACAUCUCUAUCUAUUAGAGCUUCGUUGUAACUAGUGGGAUCUUGUACAUGUUCAUCUGAGAUAGCCAUAUAGGUUUCUCCCAAAAAUAUGUAUCUCGCAGGUAACCUAGUUACCCUCCCACUACGACAAGGUUCUAAAAGUGAUGGUUGUUCAAGGAUAAUCCUGUGCUGAUCAGCUGGUUGUUGCUGUUCUUCCUGUUCUAUAACAGGUGUUGAAAGCUGAGCAUCAACCUGAUCUCUUUUAUUUCUCUAGUUUUACCUUACUCUUAGGUUAUAAGUCAUUAUAGAGUCUUCCUCAAAGAAAGUAAAGAAUAUUUCUAUAAAUACAUUCCUAUCUUGAGGACUAUAAUUCAGACUUUCCCUUAUUCCUUUAAGAUACCUAAAACAUGCAAGCUUCUGAACACGAAUCCAUCUUGUCUAUCUCUGAUUCUAGUAGAAAUACUAGUAAACUCCAAAUACGAAUGUGUCUCAAACCAUGUUUGUGACUUUUUCAUAAUUUCUUGGAGUAGUAGACACCGAGAUAGAUGAAACUAAGUUCAAUAAACUUUGUAGUUUUAAAUACUAGUAUCUGGAAUCAAAAAGGUAAAUGAUAAACCACUUAGUAUAUAUCUUGUCUUAUCCAAAAGAAUCUUGUUUCUCCAUUUAAUUACACUAUUGUAUCAUAGUGUUCAUUGACAACCAAAUAGUGCUUGAAUUCUCCAUAGAGAUAUUCUUUGUUUCGAUCAUAUCGAAGUUCUUUUAUGUUCCUGUCUAAUUGCUUCUGUCUUAUCCACGUACUCUUUUGAAUUUCAAAAGCAAUGGAAUCAUGACGCAUUUAGACAAACAUAAAUAAAAUGAAUAUUCAUCAACAAGAUUGAUAGAAUACUCAUAUCCUCUUAUAACAUGUAAACUGAUUAGUCCGUAUACAUUUGUAUGCGCUAAAUCAUCAAAUACAAUGUUAUGCUUUUAGCUCAAAAAGAGCAUCUUUGUCAUAUUACUUUUCUAAAUAAGAUUUAUAGAGUUACAAUGAUCAAUCUUAAUAGGCCAACAAGUCUAUCAUUAAUCAUUUUCUUAAAAUCUUAUUAUAGUUUAUAUGACUUAAGCAUAAAUAUCAGAGGUGAUUCUUGGUUAGAAGAAACAUUUCUUUUCUUAGAUAAAUGCAUAUACUUUUUAUCAUUAUAUCUUACUUUGAACAGAUCAAUGUACUUCUAUGAUAUAAAUUGUCUUUAUAAAUAACCAAAAUAAGUAAUAAACAGAGGAUCCAUAAAUAACAGUGUACUCCUGUUUAUUAAAACAAGCCACUGAAAUUAAAUUCCUCUAAUAUUUGGAAAAAUAAAGACAAAUAUCAAAACUAAAGUCUUGUAAAAUUGAUCUAGUCUUUCAAUUGAUAUAAACUAGCACAUCCUCAACUGCUAUUUGAAGCUUUCUUCACUUAAUCUCUUGGUUUCCUGAAAACCAAAUAAAUGAAUUACAAAUAAGAUUAGUUAUCUCAGAAUUCAUUAUUGUAUGAAUCAAUAGAAAUAUGAACUAAUUAGGAAGCUUAAAGAUUUCCUAUACCUGAUUUUAAUAAUCUUAGGACAAUCUUUCUUCCAGUGACCCUUCUGUCCACAUUUGUAACACUUGCCUUUUGGCUUGCCACUUCUUUUAAUGGACAGUUUGCCGAUCCCAACUCUUGCUUGCUCAUUCUUGUCUUUUGACUUAAGCCUUGAAGAGAAUCCUUUUUCAGGAAGUUUUCUGCUAUGAUAAAAUUCUUCUAUAGCAUGUAGUUCGUGCAUUAAUUCAAUUAAGGUCAUAUCUUUAUUGUUUAAGAUAUAGCUGACCUUAAACUCUUUGAAUGUAUCAGGUAAAGAUUCAAUCACCAUGUUAAUCUUUGAUUUAUCAUUGAUUUGAACACCAUGAAUCUCUACCUCAUUCAAAUAGUCCAUCAUUUUGAGGACAUGAUCACGAACUUUUGUGCCCUCUUCCAUCUGAGUAUCCGUAAUACGUUUUAAUGCUGCUUCUCUGGCAAAAUGGGUAUUUUGCCCAAACAUCUGAUGCAGACUAGCCAUUAUUUCAGUGGCUGUUUCCAUGCUCCGAUGUUUCUUAUGCAGUUCCACAGAAAUCGAAGCCAAUAUAUAGCGCUUAGCCAUUUUGUUAGCUUCGCACCAUUUCUCAUAAGGCUCCCUCUGAUUUCUAUAAUCGUAUAACGAUGGUUCAGGAGGGCAAGGCUGGGUCAACACAUAUUUGCUUCCCUUAGCAGUGAGAAUAUUAAAUAGAUUGCGUUUCCAAUCUAAAUAAUUUUCGCCAGUGAGUUCAUUUUUAACAAGGAUAAAUAAUAAUGGGUUGAUGGAAGACAUUUUCUGAAAAAAACAAAAUACACAUGCAUAAAUACUUUGAAACAAUAUUCACAAUAAAUGACAAAAAUGCAAAAAACCAUAAAUGCAUUUUAAUUUAUUGUAACGAUAAUCUAGUACCGCUUUGACAAGCUAUUCGUUGGGGAAGUCAUGUCUACACUUACUAGACCCAAUUAUCCAUUGGAUUAUUUACUUUCAUGUAGAGACAUGAUAAAUAAUUAUCGUUAUCCCUUUGGACCUAAAUUUGUUAACAGAGCUUCGUUGGGAAGGUUAAUAACAAACUUUAGUUGAGUGUAUAACCAUUGUUUCAAUCUACGUAUUUUUCAUAUCAAUAGUCACCGUUGGGGUGAACAAUCGAUUGAAAAAUAUUUCAAUUUUAUCUUUGAAGAAGUUCAUCAAAUAAAAUAUCUAAUAUAUAUACCCUCCGAAGGGAGCAUCACCGUAUCAUGAAGUCGAGGUAUAUAUAUAAUUUUAUUAUUGAACUAACAAUGGAGCCCGUGGGAAAAUUAUCUUGAAUUUUCCCUCUCCCACUCAAUAUUUUAAAAUUGGUUUUUCCUUUUUAAAACAUACAUAUUGUUAAUUGCAUGCUUCCUAUAAUAUUAUCUAGAUGAUAUCAAAUAUUAUUAAGCAUAUACAAAUUUCAAACAAUAUAAUGAAAUUCAUUAUUAAUGAAUGACAUGUAUCAUUAUGCAUAGAGUGGCACUACCUAUUCUAUAUGACAUGUUAUCAUGGCAUGUUAUCAUCCAAAACAUAACAUAUAGAAAAACUAUUAAAUAAUCUUAAUUCAUGGCUUUCCUAAUAAUGAAAAAUACAUUAACCCUAAGCCUAAUCUUCAUUGGGCUUCUUGUCAAUGUCCAUCUUCCAUAAGCUUGUUUUUGUUAAUGGACUAGGGGAAAUUGAGCUUUUAAAUUUAUAAUUGGUCCAAUUUUAAUUUUGAAAGGAAAUAAAUAAAUAAAUUAUUUUAUUUUUAUUUUAUUUUUUUUUAUUAAAAUAAAACUUUUGGACCAAAAAUAAAUUUAAUGUAUUUAAUUUUGUCUAUGCAUUUUUAAUCCAUUAAGCCCAAAUAUCAAUUGGGCCUAAAACUAGGAUUCUUUAAGCCCAAAACUAUUUUUAGACUUAAAUGCAAAAAAUUAAAACUUGACUGCCCAAGUGAAAAAUUAUGGAACCAUAGGGACCUCCAUGAUAAAAGCCAUGAAACCCUAAAUCCAUAUUUUUCUUUCUUUCUUCUUCCCCAGCCGCCAUCUCCAAAAUCCUCCUUCACUGUUCAGACGCCAGCCGACCUCCGACGCCGACGCCGACGCCAAACCAACUGCUGCCGCCUGGCCGGAAAACGUGCCAAAACCCGCGCGCAACUUUCUGCUGGCCUCGGCAGCGUUGCUUCCAGCUGCAGCACAUGCAGCGCGCGCUGCUGGCCACGCUGGCCGCGCGCGCUGCUUGCUGCGCACAGCGCAGCGCGCGCCGCUGGCCAAUGUUGGCCGCGCGCGCUGCUUUGCUGCGCACAGCGCAGCGCGCGAUGCUGGCCAUUGCUGGCCGCGCACGCUGCUGCAGCAUGCCCUGGUUUGCUGCCGCUGUCAUAAUUUCCGGCCUCCGUCGCUCCGAUCUUGAAAAUCUGAGAUUAAUUUACAAAUUUCCUAGACCAAUUUUGGCUUACAAAAAUUCUAUAACUGUAAAAUAAAUCAAGAGGGAAACAUGGUGAUAAAAAACCACCCCUCUUGUUACAGAUUCAAAGAACAAUACAAAAGAAAAUCUAACCAUGAAUUAAGACAAACCAUAAGCAUGCUUUAUUCAUAUAUUAAAUAAAUAAUAUACAUCUGAAUAAAUUGUGCCACUCUAAUACAUAAAUUUCAAGAUUAAUUUCAUACGAAAUUCUUAUAUAUUAAUAUGAGAUGGCUCUGAUACCAAUUGAUGGGGAAAAAUCAGGUUUUUAAAUUUUUAUAAAACCUUUUGAAGAUCGCUCUCAUAUAAUAUAUAAGAAUUCGUAUUCUAGAAAUCGUACCUUGUAAAUCUGAGUUUGCUUUUUCCGCUGAAGUGAUUUAGGCUCCUAGAUCACGAUCCGCCACCACCACUCCUGUUAGAUCACGAUCCGUCACCACCACGCUUGUUAGAUCACGAACUGUCUCCAAUGAUCUUCCAGGUUAUGACUCAGGUUCGAUCUGCACUUGACGUGUGGGCGCCUUUAUCACUACCAAAGCAACUAGCACGAGAAAAUUUUUCUCUCAACAAUGGAGAGAAAAAUCUUAUUCUCUGAUUUGUAUAAAGUGGCUUCCCCAUUCCUUUUUGGGAAAAUAAGCCUUAUAUAUCUCCCUUUAGUGAAAACCCUAGGCUCCAAGGAUUCCCCCAAAAUAAAACUCACGUUACUUUUCAUUUAAUAGGGGACCCACCAUGUAAAAUAACAUAAGACCCCUUACACAUAAGCUUAUUAAAUGGAGCCUCCCACUAAAUGAUAUAUUUAGGCUUUUGACCCAAAUAGCUAGUUAUCUUGCUUAUUAGUCCAGCAGUGGUGCAAUCAAUUAAAUGAGCUAACCCGGGGAUCAUUUGGGAACAUACAAUAGUGGCUACAAUAAUUAGGCCUGUAAUUAAACUAGCCCAAUUAUUUAAUUCCAAAUCUACUCCACUAAAAGAUUGGAACUGACUUCCAUAAUUGUAUGCUCGAAUAAUAAUUCGUCCCAAGCCACAUUGAUUUCUUUACUGCACAAUCCUUUGUACCACAUCGUUAAUUAAAUUGAUAUCUCAACUGUCCAAUCAAUUUAAUAACAUCUUAUUCCUUGAUCCUUACUGGUUUUCUCUAAUGAUCAUUUUCAACAUACUAAAUAUGUUGACACACUCUGGCCAGAGAAUUCUAUGAUCAAGUACCGAAAACCUAUCAAGAGAUGUGUUGUACAAAUUCUAUAUUGUUAAUCCAUAACUCCAAUACUCAUAAUUGCUCCCACCAAGAUACCGGGUAAUCUUGACCACAAGGAUGUGUCGUGCCCAUUGGUAACUCAAAUGAAAUAACAAUCACAAUCAUGAAAUCAUAAUUAACUCAAGAUUAAGAUUACAGUAAAAUCAACGCCUAUGAGAUUUAAUAAGUCUGACAGUUAUUACAAAGUUAAUUAAAUCUCAUAUGUGAUCCUGUUCAAUGUAGUCGUACUACAUCAAUAAAUUCAUACAUGAUUAAGACAAAUCAUUCAAUGAAUUUAUUACAGUCUAUACCUAAAUAAAGUGCCCAACUUUAUUUAUCAACUGCGAACUAAAUUUAUUUAAUCAUAAGAUAACUUGUAUUUAUGUCUUCUGUGAAUCCACAUGGUGAUCACAUAAAUACAUAUAAUAUGAUUAAAUGGACUUUAAUACAAAUAUUAAUGCAAUUAAGAUAUUUGAAUAAAAUACCUCAUUAAUUUUAUUAAUCAGAAAAAAUAUUUAUUACAAAUAAAUAAACACAUAUGCUUUAAAGAGCAUAUUUUCCCAACAAUUAUGACAUUUCCUUGAUAUAGGAGGAGCCACGAACAUCAAUUCGCAGACAUCGACAAUAACCAAACUUGAGCAUCAUCGUUGUUAGUUACACCUGUAGCCAAAUUUAUGACCUUUGGAAGAUACCCUACUCAUUCUACGCAACCAUCCUACAUCAUGCCAAAGUUAGUUACAUGGGACACGCGUGAUCUCUUCGUUAAUGGUCUUGAUUCACACACCUAAGAAUUAUGUUCAGCCUUGCACUAUUAAUAUCACUUAUAAAUUAUGAUCCAUGAAAUCCUCUGUUUUUAGUUUCUCUGCACUCUUUUAUCAUAAUUAUUUUUUUUAACAUUUUCUCUGUAAGCAAAAAUUGGCGUUCAACAAUUAAUAAGAGUUGUAACAGAGGAAAAUCCAGCAAUAACAUCCAAUCGAGGAGAAGACGAGGAUGAAUCUGCAAUUAAGAUGAAUCCUUUGGUUGAACUCGUAUUGGCAGUGGCCACGGUUAUCUUUCAUUGAUGCAUGUACUGAUUGUUGUUUAUAUUGGCUUCUAAAAUCUGUCUAUUUCAUCCGUGAUCUUGCUAGGCCAUAGUUUACCGUUAUCCUUCUUUUAUGUGUAAUUGAACUUUUAUGUGUUAAUUUUUAGUUCAUUGCUUUCAAGCUCGGUUCUUGAAAAAUAUACUAAUUUUUAUGCCUUGUGCAAUUCAUUUGCUAUAUGAAUCUGACGCAUUUCUCGUACCUGAGGUCUUAAGACCAGAGUGAAGGCCUGAAUAUUUCAUGUACAGGUGCCUGUUGGUGAUUUUGAUUUAGAAUUAUGGAUUUUGAAUGUUCAACCUUGCGCAUUUGCACUAGGAAUAUCAAUUAGGACAUGACGAAUGAAAUCCUCUGUUUUUAGUUUCUCUGCCCUCUUUUACUUUCUUUCACAGUUACAUUUUUCCUGUAAACAAAAAUUUGUCUCUAAGUUUUCAUUCACAUAUUUGUAAUUCAUCGUUAAUGUUAAAAAUUUAAGUGGCUAAAAACAUCCAAAAGUUGCGUGCAAUUGUCAUAUUAUGUUAAUGAUGAAUUAGCUUAUUUUUCUUUAGCUUUCCUCUAUCUUUCUUCGAGUACUGAUAUUUGAACACUAUCAAGAAACCACCAAGAUAAAAAAAUCAGUAUUGUUUACUGUAUCUUUCUUUUAUGAGUAGUUAAUUAUGCCUUGUUGUGCAAUUCAUUUGCCAUAUGAAUCUGAAGAAUUUAUUGUGCAUUGUGUUCUUAAGACUAUGGAGUGAAGGCCUUCACAGAACUAGCUCAAGAUGGCGCCAACAUUAGUUACAUGUGACACGCGGGACGUCUCUGUUAAUUAUUUUGAUUCACACGCCAAAGAAUUAUAUUGAGCCUUGCACUCUUUUAUUUUAUUUUUUGAACAUUUUCUCUGUGAACAAAUUUUGGUUUCUAAGUUUUCCUUGACAUAUCUGUAAUUUAUCAUUAAUGUUGAAAUUUCGGAGGCUAAAAACAUCCAAAAUUUGUGUGCAAUUAUCGUAUUGAGUUACUGAUGAAUCAGCUUAUUUUUCUUUAGCAUUCCCCUUUUUUCCUUUUCAUUUUGCUUAACUUUUCCUUCAUUCAAAUUCUUUCACUGUGCGGCUGUGGUCCUCAAACUCAAUUAUGAUAUUUACUAGUCGUGCGUCGAAUGUGGCUCUGAUUGAUGAUACGAUUGCUUGGUUGUGUUCAUAAACUUGACUAUGGGUUAACAUUAACACACAUCCUCCAUGUUCCAUCAACUAGCAAAACCGGAACUGUGCAUAGACUCAUGCUUUCUCUCCCGUACCCUUUUAUGACCCCUGUCCCCAGUUAGUUGACAGAAUACGUCAAUUGAAGGUUGCCUUGCAGUGUGCAUGUUUGAUUAUAAUUAUUGUAGAAUAAGGACUCCCUGAUCACAAGUCAAUGAAAUUGCAGAAAGCCUAUGAUCAUUGAAUGCUAAUUCCAUCUUACUGGCGUAGACAAUGGUUUAAUAAAUCUUUCGUAAAUUUCCUCAUCGCUUCCUAUGUCACAAUGAUAUUGGUGUAGCCGGUGAUUUUAGAUAAACUCAUACCAGCGUACAUUAUGGUUUUAUUAUUAAUUGAUGGACGAACCAAUUCAUGUUUCUAAAAAAAAAAAAAAAAGAAAGAAAGAAAGAAAAUCAUAUUGGCUUGUAUAUUUUAUUGCAAAAUAUACAAGCCCUUGUACACACCGGAUAAAUUUCUACCAAUACUAUACUAUACUUGUAAAGAGAGUUCAAAGAGCCAUAUUAGCACUUCCUGGAACUAUAUUAUUCAUCAAUUUUUUUUAUAAUAAUUAUAUUUUUUUAUUUUGGUUUGAGUACUUCAUAUCUCUGAAUAUAUAUAUAUAUCACCAGUCAAAGAUAUGUGAUUCACAUUUGACUUUAGCGAAAUAAAAAGUUGUUUUGCAAUGGAAGUACUUCCUUCAUUAAGUUCUCAUUAACCUCACUACUUUGGAUUGUUGUUUUGGAUGAAAUCCAGGUAUGCAAGGCUUGCUUGGAAGCUGAGAUGACGAAGCUCUUAGUUCAUGAUUUGACGAUGAUGAAGGAAUGUCGUCUGAUUGCUGUGAUGAUUGGGAGGGAGCGACGGAUCUCUUCUCAAUAAAAUAACGGAAUUCAACUAUUCUCAAUACAGGAAUAAAUUAUUUGAUUAUUUCAAACCCAGGCUUACGCUAAAUUAUCUCAAUUAACUUUCAUUUUAUUAGUUGACUAUCUCAAUCAACUGUUGACUAUCUCGACCAACUGGCUCCAAGUUGGCUUGUUUUCCACGGAGUAUUAAUGAAGCACUUUUCCUCAUUGGUCCAAGCCUUAUAAGUCUUCGUUAGUCAUUACAAUUCAAUGCUUGCAUAGAUUAAUUAUUUGAUAAUUCCAUGCAAAUCCAAUCAUACAAUUCAAUAGAAAAUAAUUAUCGUAAUUUUAGAAAGACAGUUUUGAAACAGUAAUUGAAAGUAUUCAUUUGAACUUUUUAUAUUUACAGAGAAAAGUCUAUUGGUGCUAGUUUCCAAUUCAUAAAAAUAAGUCAUCCGUGAAACACGCUUUGAAACUGGUUAGGCAGGAUGCAAAGUAGAACGUGAUCACCACUCAACCAUCUUUAACAUAAAAACGUACACUCCACGCUUGACUUGUAAAAGCUGGGCAUUUUCCAUGCUUUCAAGAAUGCUGAUCAAAUUAGCCACUCGGCCUUUGGCCGAGUGGUGAGAGCUGCUGCUCUCCAAUGUGGAGAGCAGCGGUUCGAACCCCCACAAUGCAUUGUGGGGGUAUUUCCUUCCUCAAUUAAAUUUGAGUGAAGGCAGUCUGCUUCCCUGCCCCAGUGCGAGGAGUAGACAUCCCUCGAAUAUUUGAGAGGGUUAAAAUCUGGGCAGCGCUCCAUUAGCAUUGAUGUAUGUUGGUCCUAGUUAUAGUCUGAUUUGUAAAUAUCAGUUAUAUUCUCAUGUAAUAUGAGUUGUACUUUGAGCAAUAGUCUCCUGUAAUUUGAGCAAUAGUCUCAUGUAAUCAAAAAAAAAAAAAAAAGAAUGCUGAUCAAAUUGGGGACGCAAUGGAUAAUUCUUGAUGAUUUAUUGGUUGACUGACUCUAUCACUAAUUUUAAAUUUAAAAAAUAUAGAAAAAUAUUUGAAAACCAAUAUUUUUACAUUUUUCCUUACAAGUUUGAAAUUUGAUUUCUAUAAUGAAAUAUUUCUAUUAGCUAUUAAAUUUAUCAUAAUUUUAGAAAGGCAUUUUUGAAAUAGUAAUUGAAACUCUUAGUUCAUGGUUUGAUGAUGAUGAAGGAUUGUCGUCUGAUUGCUGUGAUGAUUGGGAGGGAGUGAUGGAUCUCUUCUCAAUAAAUAAAAUAACGGAAUUCAACUCUUCCCAAUACUGGAAUAAAUUAUUUGAUUAUUUCAAACCCAAACUUACGCUUAAAUUUUGAAAAUGAUCUCAAUUAACUUUUUUUUUAUUAGUUGACUAUCUCAAUCAAUUGUUGACUAUCUCGAUCAACUGCUUCCAAGCUGGCUUGUUUUCCACGGCGUAUUAAUGAAGCAUUUUUCCUCAUUGGUCCAAGCCUUAUAAGUCUUCGUUAGUCAUUACAAUUCAAUGAGUGCACAGAUUAUUUGAUAAUUCAAUAGAAACGCAAUCACUCCCUUAAAUUAAUUAAAGGGAAAUUAUAAAGCCCUCCUCCUUUGGUUUAACCUAUCAGAAAUACUAAAAAGUUUGAAUUUAUUUAUUUUUCUUCUUAUGUUUUUAAUUUGUAUCAACCAACCAUCAAAAGAACAGAAAAAUUCAUACAAAAUUACCACUAUUGCCAUUUGUAUUUGUUUCUGUACUGUCAUUUCAUAAGUGUAAUUCUAUCUUUUUAUUAGAUGACGAAUACAAAUUGUAAACUUAAGGCAAAAAAUGAAUAAAUGAUAAACUUAAGACGGAUAGUUGAUAAUUUUCCUUAUCUAAAUUCUUAAUCAAUUUUUGUUUUAUAGCAUUGGCGGUCUCCAUCAAUUAGUAGAGGAAAAAUAAUAGACAGCCACUUGUUUGUUGCUUAAUUUGAAAGUCAAUCAGCUUUAAUUUUCCCCGGAAUUAUGGAUUUUGAAUGUUCAACCUUGUGCAUUUGCACUAGGAAUAUCAGUUAUGAAUGACGAAUGGAAUCCUCUGUUUUUAGUCUCUCUUCUCUCUUUUACUUUCUUUCACAGUUACAUUUUUUCUGCAAACAAAAAUUCAUUCACAUAUUUGUAAUUUAUCAUUAAUGUUAAAAAUUUCGGUGGCUAAUAACAUCCAAGAGUUGCGUGCAAUGGUCAUAUUGUGCUAAUGAUGAAUUAGCUUAUUUUUCUUUAGCCUUCCUCUAUCUUUCUUCGAGUACUGAUAUUUGAGCACUAUCAAGAAACCAUCAAGAUAGAAAAACGAGUAUUGUUUAUACUUCAAUACCACCAGAAUGCACAAAACGACGGUACCAGGCUAUAGUUUACUGCAUCUUUCUUUUAUGAGUAAUUGAACUUUUUAUGUAUUAAUUAUAGUUGGUUGCUUUCAAGCGGGGUUUAUGCCUUGUCGUGCAAUUCAUUUGCCAUAUGCAUCAGAAGAAUUUAUUGUGCAUCGUGUUCUUAAGACCAUGGAGUGAAGGCCUUAACAGAAGUAGCUCAAGAUGGCGCCAAAGUUAGUUACAUGUGACACGCGAGACAGUCUCUGUUAAUUAUUUUGAUUCACAAGCCAAAGAAUUAUAUUGAGCCUUGCACUCCUUUAAUUUAUUUUUUGAGCAUUUUCUCUGUGAACACAAGUUGGUUUCUAAGUUUUCCUUGACAUAUCUGUAAUUUAUCAUUAAUGUUGAAAUUUCGAAGGCUAAAAACAUCCGAAAGUUGUGCGCAAUUGUCAUAUUGAGUUAUUUUCUUUAGCUUUCCCCUCUUUUCCUUUUCAUUUUCCUUUACUUUUCCUUCAUUCAAAUUCGAUGAAUCAGCUUAUUUUUCUUUAGCAUUCCCUCUUUUCCUUUUCAUUUUCCUUUACUUUUCCUUCAUUCAAAUUCGAUGAAUCAGCUCAUUUUUCUUUAGCAUUCCCCUCUUUUCCUUUUCAUUUUCCUUUACUUUUCCUUCACUCAAAUUCUUUCACUGUGCGGCUGUGGUCCUCAAUUAUGAUAUUUACUAGUCGUGCGUUGAAUCUGGCUUUGAUUGAUGAUACGAUUGCUUGAUUGUGUUCAUAAGCUGGACUAUUGGUUAAUGUCAACACACAUCCUCUAUGUUCCAUCCUUCUUAGGAACUAGCAAAAUUGGAAUUGUGCACUGACUCAUGAUUUCUCUCACGUACCCUUUAUGACCCCUGUCCCCAGGUUAGUUGACAGAAUACGUCAAUCGAAGGUUGCCUUGCAGUGUGCGUGUUUGAUUAUAAUUAUCGUAGGAUAAGGACUCCCUGGUCACAAGUCAAUGAAAUUGCAGCAAGUCUCUGAUCAUUGGAUGCUAAUUUCCUCUUACUGGCGUAGACUAUGGUUUAAUAAAUAUUUCGUAAAUUUCCUCAUCGCUUCCUAUGUCACAAUGAUAUUGGUGUAGCCGGUGACUUUGGAUAAACUCAUAUUGGCGUACAUUAUGGUUUUAUUAUUAAUUGAUGGACGUACUAAUUCAUGUUUCUAUUGGCUUUGCAAAAAGAAAGAAAUCUCACUUUAUUGUAAAAUAUACAAGCCCUUAUACACACCGGAGAAAUUUCUACCAAUACUGUACUAUACUUGUAAAGAGAGUUCAAAGAGCCAUAUUAGCACUUCCUGGAACUAUAUUAUUCAUCAAUUUUUUUAUACUAAUAAUAAUUUUUUUUUUUUUAGUUUGAGUACUUCAUAUCUCUGAAUACAUAUAUAUAUUACCAGUCAAAGAUAUUUAAUUCACAUUUAACAUUAGCCAAAUAAAAAGUUGUUUUGCAAUGGAAGUACUUCCUUCAUUAAGUUCUCAUUAACGUCACUACUUUGGAUUAAUGUUGUUCUGGAUGAAAUGCAUGGAUGCAAAGCUUGCUUAGAAAUCAAAAGCUUCUUCAUAUCAGCUAUUGAUAUUGGAUACGAUGACGAAGCUCUUAGUUCAUGGUUUGAUAAUGAUGAAGGAAUGUCGUCUGAUUGCUGUGAUGAUUGGGAAUGAGCGAUGGAUCUCUUCUCAAUAAAAUAACGGAAUUCAACUCUUCUCAAUACUGGAAUAAAUUAUUUGAUUAUUUCAAACCCAAACUUACGCUUAAAUUUUGAAAAUGAUCUCAAUUAACUUUUUUUUUAUUAGUUGACUAUCUCAAUCAAUUGUUGACUAUCUCGAUCAACUGUUCCAAGCUGGCUUGUUUUCCACGGCGUAUUAAUGAAGCAUUUUUCCUCAUUGGUCCAAGCCUUAUAAGUCUUCGUUAGUCAUUACAAUUCCAUGCUUGCAUAGAUUAUUUGAUAAUUCAAUGCAAAUCCAAGUAUACAAUUUAAUAGAAACCCAAUCACACCCUUAAAUUAUUUAAAGGGAAAUUAUAAAGCCCUCCUCCUUUGGUUUAGCCUGUUAUCAGAAAUACUAAAAAAAUUGAAUUUAUUUAUUUUUCAUCUUAUGUUUUUAAUUUGUAUCAACCAUUUAUGAAAAGGACGUAAAAAUUCAUGCAAAAUUACCACUAUUGCUAUUUGUGUUUGUUUCUAUAUUGUCAUUUCAUAAGUGUAAUUCUAUCUUUUUAGUAGAUGACUAAUACGAAUCACAAACUUAAGGCGAAAAAUGAAUAAAUGAUAAACUUAGGACGGAUAAUUGAUAAUUUUCCUUAUUUAAAUUCUUAAUCAAUUUUUGUUUUACAGCAUCGGCGGUCUCCAUCAAUUGGUAGAGGAAAAAUAGUAGACAGCCAAUUGUUUGUUGCUUAAUUUUCCAGUCAAUCAGCUUUAAUUUUCGAGAAAUUUACACCAAUAGCCAUAAAAAUUUUGGCUUUUUCCAUCUUAACCCCCCAAACAAACUUCUAUCAACAUUACUACAUUAGCCAUAAAAAAGCCUUUGAGGCCAAAAUACCCCUCUCUCUCAUCUCCACAAUGUUGGUGAGCUUGCCUUGGCGCAACAACUCGCCGAUUCUGUCAAGCCUUUAAAUCAGCCAUGGCGGCAGUAGAAACACGCUCCAUUUCGGAAAUGGCGUCGUCAGAGAUUCUGGACUCGGUUUCACUGACCUCGUAAUCUUCAAGAUCAGAGAAGCUCACUCUGGAGGCCCUGGAAGAGGAGACGGAGACAGACUCAUGGUCGAGAUACUCUCCGUUGAUCUUCAGCAUCUGAUAAAACUCCCUUUUCGAGUCUUUUCAUGGUGGUUUGCAUUAGGGUUUGGGCGAGGACGAGCUUGUCAGAAAUAGUGCAUGGCGAUCUGCAAGUCGUAGACGGCUUUGAGGUAGUCCUUGGCGUCUUGGCAGUUGUCGGAGGAGAAGAGAGAAGAGAUGUUGCAUCAUAGAGAGGUAUCGUCCCAUUUGGUGAUGAGAGAGCGGGCAAUUUGGAUGUUCUCGUCCAUUAAAGAAUCGGAGAAUGUGACCCGUUGAGGCGACGAUGAAGGUGUGCCCGCCGUCAGAGAUGUGGAUGGUUUGAAGAAUAUGUCGCACUGCACCUGUCGCACCAAGCAAGGCUUUGCGCUUGGUGCGACAGGUGCCUGUCGCUCGAAGCUUCGUGCGACAGGCAACCUGUCGCCAGAUUCACCCCGACUCACAGUUCACUGAAACUCUCGAGCAAGUUCAGAAAAUAACUCAUACCACUAUGUGAUGCCGAUUAGUGUUGGAUCCGGAUAGAUUAUUAUCAGAUUUCACUUUUAUCGUUGCCUUUUGCUGUCGCUGUUGGUUGAUGAUUCAAGAGUGGAAAGCUACCUUUGGUUUGACGAAAGGGGAGAAAAAAAGUUGCUUUUGGUUUGUAAAGAAGGGUAAUUUGGGAAGAAAAGCGUGUGUUUGGCUAAUGUUGAUAGAAAAAAGUUGAGAGGGUUAAUUGUGAAAAUAGCAAAAAUUUUAUGGUUAUUUUUGUAAAUUUCCCUUAAUUUUCCCCGUAGUUGUAAUAAUAUAUGGGAAAUUUGAUAAAUUGAACCUCUGUACAUCUGUCCCAAGUUCCUAUGAAAUUUCUCUUUUUGUCAUUUCAAGUGAUUGUAAUAGUAGUAGAGUUGCAGAUUGAGAACAAUCGAAACUUAAUUUCCCUAUUAAGGUUUACCAAUAUAUUUGAUUUUAAUAGCUUUGAUUCAAAUGCAUGAACUUGAGGAGUCACAAAAGCUUCAAAUAACAUUUAUGUGUUGGUCAUUUUAUAGUACAUCACACUUUUAUGAGUAAUUAAACUAAUAAAUUAAACUUAUCAAACAUCCAAACAAAUUCUUCACAAAACAUAUUAUUUAAUAGAUUAACUGAUAAUCCAAUGCAAACCCAGAUAUAAGGAUAAAUUAUUUAAAUUCCCUCACACAACUUUUAUUUUAUUAGUCACGACUAUCUCCAUCCAACUGUUGGAGAAAAUAUACACUUUUAUGAGUAAUUAAACUAAUAAAUUAAACUUAUCAAACAUCCAAACAAAUUCUUCACAAAACAUAUUAUUUAAUAGAUUAACUGAUAAUCCAAUGCAAACCCAGAUAUAAGGAUAAAUUAUUUAAAUUCCCUCACAUAACUUUUAUUUUAUUAGUCACGACUAUCUCCAUCCAACUGUUGGAGAAAAUAUAGUUUACAGUCGCUUGUUUGUUGGCUUAAUUCGAGGGUCCCUCAACUUUAAUUUUUUUUUUACGGAGUAUUAGUGAAGUUCUUUUUUUUUUUUUCUCCUCGGUCGAUGUUGCAAUAUAUAUGUAAUUUCAAGGUUACAAGUCUUCACCAAAGACAAAGACUUCAAGAUAGCGGUGUUAUAAUGUAUCGACAAUAUUUUGUCUUUAAUAACCCUCUAAAACAAAAGUAAGAUAAUCAAGUACUUUUAUUACUUGAUAUCUCCAAGAUGUUUUAUUUUCGUUAGAUUGAGUGGUUGGUAAUCUUCAGCCAAUCAAAUUGCAAGGUCCACGAUGAUAAAUGUUUAGUAUAAAUAUUGAAGUUUCCUCGUUGCAAAUUUUAUAUUAACCAAAUGAAAAGUUGCUUUGCUGCAAUGGAAAGUACUUCCUUUGUUAAGUUCUCAUUAAUUUCACUAAUUUGGAUUAUUUUUUUGAUGAAUGAAAUGCAUGGAUACAAAGCAUGCUUGCAAACAGAGAGGACUGCUCUGUUGGAACUCAAGAGCUUCUUCAUAUCAGUCAGCGAUGUUGGAUAUGAUGACAAAAUUCUUCCUUCAUGGGUUGAUGAUGGAAUGUCGUUUGAUUGUUGUGAUGAUUGGGAGGGAGUUAAGUGCAACACCACCACACGACGGGUGAUGCAACUCUCACUCAAUUGGACAACAAUGUUCAACGACACUAAAUAUAGCUCUUUUUAUUAUGGAGCUUUGCUUCUGAAUAUGUCAUUGUUUCAUCCUUUCGAAGAAUUGCAGAGCCUCGACUUAUCUGAUAAUUGCUUUAAAGGCUUCUAUGAGAGCAAAGGUACAUGUAUAUAUAUGUAUAUAUUUCUCGUGAAAAUUAUAAAAAUUAAUCCUUCAUAUGCAUUUGCAGUUUACGAUAGCUUUGAGGGUUUAAAACAGCUAAAGAUCUUAAAACUUAGUGACAAUUUCUUCACCGACAGCAUAUUACCACAUUUGAAUACGCUAACUUCACUUACCACUCUGAAUCUUCGUUCCAAUAACAUUGAAGGUUCCAGAAUCAAGCAAGGUAUAUAUGUUUGAGGCAAGCAGAAAUGCAUGUCAGGCAAGUUAAUCUCUUCAAAUAUUUAUGUAUAUUGUUUUGAUCAAAAUUAAUGUUUACUGAGCAGGAUUAGCAGAUUUGAGAAACUUGCAAGUGUUGGAUCUAAGCUGGAACCUCAAUCUAACAAGUGGCUCUUUAUCAAGGCUAGGUAAGCUACUGGGAUAAAACCAAACAACCACACUGAUCACAGCCUUACUACAAUAAUUUUGAAGUAAUAUUUUAUUUAUUUAUUUAUUUUUUUAUUGAUGUAGGAUUGGCAAAUUUGACAAACUUGAAAACAUUAGAUCUUGGUGGUUCUGAAAUAACUACACUUCAAGGUAUACCACAACAAUCAUCACUUCCUAUAAAUUUCCCAGUUUUUUUUUUUUUGGGUAAUAUUAUGGCCUUUCAUUUUUCAAUCUGCUGUUUGAGUACAUCAACUUAGUUGAAUCUCAAUUAAACUAAGUUGACUAAUUACAACCAUCUGCUUUAUUAUAAUUUUUAAAUCUGAUUUUGAAUUCCCAUUCUUCAUUCUUUUGAUUCUAAUGCCUAAUUGACUAAUUCCAACUAGAUCAAAUUUGAAUUAGAAUCACUGCUUUCUUUACAAAGUUUAGUACUUGACAUACUGGAUCGCCAUUUUCUGAUAUAACCCGCUCAUUUCUUUCACUCUCUCCUAAUUCUGAAUAUUUUUUAUAAAAAAGUCAACAAUGAUAUUUAUCUUUAUUUCAAUAUUUAUAGUUCUAAAUGAAAAAAGAUUUUUUUUUAUCUUUUGUUCAUUAAAUAUUGAUGUAGGAUUAGCUAAAUUCAAAAACUUGGAAGCAUUGAAUUUGAGUAAUAGUAAUACAAAAAAAUUCUCUAGAAACCCAAAUUAAACAAUUUACACGGCAUUUUUAUGUUGAAACAUGAUAAAUAAGAGCACAAUAUUGUUUUCUAAUUGCUGUUUUCACAAAAUAAAAAUGAAAAUGAAAAUGUUAUUUUUAAAUUUAUUUUUAAAAUUUAAAAAUGUGUUCGGUAUCAUUUCAAAAUAAAUCUCAAAAAAUAAGAAAAAGAAAAACGUGUUUGGUAAGAAUAUUUUAAAGAAUUAUUUUUGGAAUAAUAAUAAUUUCCAUAAACUUAAGAUUAAGCAAGGUAUAUUGAUUAUUUUAAUUUUAAGAAUAAAUUAGGUGAUCUUGCUAUUAAUUUUUUUGUUCAAAGAAAAAUGAUAAACUCUACAUAUUUGAUUUAAUUAAUAUAUAAAAACAUAAAUAUUAUAAUGUAUAUAAAAAGAAAAGAUUAUUGUUAGGGAAAUUGAUUUUUUGGUAGUAUAAUGAUAAUAAUAAUAAUAAUAAUAAUAAUAAUAAUAAUAUAAAGGGUUAAUUACCUGUGAGUGACACAUGUUUUAACAAAUUUCAAAAAGAUGAUACAUUUUUUAAAAAUAUUCGAGUGGGUGAUAUUCUAUUAACUUUUGCCGUUAAUUUUAAUGAGAAUAGUAAAUUAGUUACAAAAUGACAUGUCUACCCUUACAAUUAAUUAUAAAAAUGGCAUUCUUUCUCUUACAAUUAGUUACAAAAUGAUCUUUUUACCCCUACCAUUAGUUACAAAUGAUAUUUCUGCCCCUACUCACUUAUUUUUAAUUUUUUAAAUAGAAAAUUAUAUAAAAAAUUAAACGGAAGUCUAAUUAACAGGUAUUUUUUGGUUAAAUCAAAUAAUUUUUUUAAAAAAAAUUCUUGUUGAAUCAAACUGAUUUGUGAAUAUAAAAAAGUAGAAAUCUUAUGAAUUAUAAAGUAUUGUAUAAAUUCAAUAUUUUAAUCUCUUUGGCUUUAUUUUAAAAAAAAAAAUCUAUUUUUUCAAUUCUACCCUUGGUCGAUUAAAUUUAAUGGCAAGGAUAAACAAUGUCACACACUCGAGUGUUUUCAAAGCAUGUGUCACCUUUUAAAAAUUUGUCAAAACAUGUGUCAUCCAGGAGUAAUUGUUAUUAAUAAUAAUAGUAAUAAUAAUAGCAUUUCAAGAGGUGGUAAAGAAAAUUUUUCACUUUGGAACUUAAUACUGCAUUGGGAAAUAAGGAAAACAAGAAAAACUUGUUUCUCAUUUCCUUUGUUAAAAUGUGUAGAAUGAAUUUUAUAUUUUUAAAAAUGUUUUCAUAAACAAUCUACCGAGUACAUAUCUAAUAUUUUCUAAAUUCAAAAAAUAAAAAACAGGAUAUAAAAACAUUACCAAAACACCCAAUAUUUGCAUUACUGAUACACAAUUCCUACUUCCUAGUGACUUGUUGGUCAAAGUACCUUGACAAAAUUAAAUAUGAAGAGCAGUUCUUUUUUUCUUUUUUUUUUGUUUUUCGCCCGUUUAGACAAAUGGUUUUGUUUAAUACUAUGAGACGAAUAAAUAAAGUUUAAGAAAACAACUAAAAUAUUAUGAUUUUCUCUUUAUAUUAUCCAAGAAAUUUAAAGAUUAGAGAACCAAUAUCCAAAGAAAAAGAUGAAGUGAACAAACUCUUCCGCAGAAAAUCAUUAUUUUAGACAACAAGAAUUGCUGAAACGCUUUUUGAAUUGAUUAUGAUGAGCAAGACUUGCUGAGUGCUUUUUUAUUAUUAUUAUGUUUUUUGUUAGAUUAAUUGAAAUGCUUUUGCAAUCAACAUCAUAUUAUAUGAGAAAUAAAUUCAUAUCAUUCUAUUAUUAUUUAUGUUGACCAAAAUACUUAGACAAUUUGAUUUCAUGUCCGUUUUAUAAGUCUUAUAUUGGAUUUAUGAUUGAAUGCGCUAUAAUUAGUUUUUGUUUUAUGAAAUCUGAGUUUUUUAUUUUCAGGCUCAGGAAUAUGUAAUUUGAAGAAUCUUUUCGAGUUGGAUCUAAGCUCAAAUAACUUUAAGGGUCACCUUCUUCAGUGUCUCAACAACUUGACCCAUCUCAAAGUUCUUGAUAUUUCUACUAAUCAAUUAAGUGGAAACUUUCCUUCUUCGUUGACAAAUCUCACAUCACUUGAAUAUUUGGAUCUCUCUUUCAUCAGUUUCCAAGAAACAUUCUCAAUAAAUUCAUUGGCCAAUCAUUCAAAGCUUGAGGUCCUGCUACUCUCGUCAGGAAACGAUAUGUUGGAAGUGAAAACUGAAAACUGGCUCCCCACAUAUCCUCUCAAGGUUCUCCAAUUAUCUCACUGCCACUUAAAUGUCAAUCCCAGUUUUCUUUUACACCAACACCACUUAAAAUUCCUUGAUCUCUCUCAAAAUCAGUUGGUUGGCAAUUUCCCAACUUGGUUGUUGCAAAAUAACACAGGAUUAGAAGUUUUGAUUUUGCGGAAUAACUCAUUCUCAGGAAUUCUUCCCCGACUUCCCAAUGCCAAAUACGAUAACCUUCGUCAUCUAGACAUUUCCAUUAACAAUUUCUCUGGUAAGCUGCCAGAGAAUUUGGGUAUUGUCUUUCAAAAAUUGAUAUAUUUGGAUAUGUCAAAAAAUAGUUUUGAAGGUAAUAUUCCUUAUUCAAUCAGUGAGAUGAAAGAGCUAAUUACUUUGGAUUUGUCUAGAAAUAAUUUUUCAGGAGAAUUACCUCGACCUAUAGUCUCUAGUUGCCUCUCCUUAAAUAUAUUGGACCUAUCAAAUAACAAUUUCUAUGGCCAACUUUUUCCCAAUUAUAUGAACUUGACUCAUUUGCAUUCGUUACAUUUGGACAACAAUCAUUUCAGAGGGAAGAUAACAGAUGGUUUAUUGAGCUCCACUUUGCUAGAGGUAUUAGAUGUAUCCAACAACAUGUUAUCCGGUGAUUUUCCCCAUUGGAUUGGCAACUUCUCAAGCCUUUGGCUUCUUUUAAUGUCAGAAAAUUAUUUGCAAGGUAUUAUUCCGGUCCAGCUCAACAAUCUUGAAAUUCUUGAGUUUAUAGACAUCUCCGAAAAUAGUUUGUCUGGGUCCAUGCUAUCUCCCUCCAAUCUUACAAAUUUGAAGCACAUUUAUCUGGAUAACAAUGCAAUUAAUGGGUUAAUUCCAAUUGCAUUGCUUAGAAGCUCUACAUUAUUGACUCUAGAUUUGAGGGACAAUAAACUUUUUGGUAGGAUUCCUCAUCAGAUCAAUGAGCUUUCGAAUUUGCAUGUUCUUCUUUUGAGAGGGAAUUCUCUACAAGGACGUAUUCCUAAUCAAUUGUGCCAAUUAAGGAAAUUUGGUAUCAUGGAUCUUUCACAUAACAGACUUAAUGGACCAAUACCUUCAUGCCUGGAUAACAUGUCAUUCUGGAGAGAAGCGACUGAUGAUGAUUCGUAUGAAUAUGAAUCACUUCGUGCGUAUAUGUUUUUAAAUAGUGAUUCCCCUCUAAUUUAUUACAAUUCUACCCUUGAUCUGCAACCGCGAAUUGAACUGCAUCCUAAAAUAGAUAAACGAGUAGACGCGGAAUUUGCGACAAAGAAUAGAUAUGAAUUUUUCAUCGGUCGCAAUCUCAACUACAUGGCUGGACUGGAUUUGUCGAGCAAUGAGUUCAGUGGAGAAAUUCCAUGGGAAAUUGGGCAUCUUCAAAAUAUUCGUGCACUUAAUCUGUCCAAUAAUUUACUAUCAGGUGCUAUACCAGAGAGCUUCUCCAAUCUAAAAAUGAUAGAGAGCCUGGACAUUUCCUGCAACAAAUUAAGUGGCCGAAUUCCUCAACUAACUGAGCUCAACUUUUUAUCAAACUUCAACGUGUCAUACAACAAUUUGUCCGGCCCAAUCCCAGACAAAGAGCAGUUUGGCACGUUUGAUGACAGCAGUUAUAAAGGUAAUUCGGCUCUUUGUGGCUCAAUGAUAAAGAGGAAAUGCAGCAGUGCAUUGACACCACCAGCGACACCUGCAGGAGGAGGAGAUGAAGAGGAUUCUGUGAUUGAUAUGGUGGCAGUAAGAUGGAGUUUUGGAGCAUCCUAUGUGUCAGUGAUUUUGGGUUUAUUUGCAGCACUUUGGAUAAACUCGUACUGGCGCAAACUUUGGUUCUAUUUCAUUGAUAGAUGUAUUGACACAUGCUACUAUUGGCUUUUCAAAUAUGUUUUCCAUCGGUGAUUGUGUUUACCAGCAGAACUUAUUGUGCCGUGUUAUGUCUCCAUUGGCUUUUCUCCCAACAGCAAUGUAUCCAUGUUUGUGUUUGUUCAAAUUCUCAAUUUGGUUACUACACUCAUGUUUCCAAUUUCCUUUAAUUGGCUGCAUUAGGAUUAGACUUACGGCUUCUUCUUCAGUUUCUGUUGGUUGCAAAUUUAAAUUGAAUAAGGAAUUUUUCCAACUACUAUGUUUGUUGUAAUAUCAUUAGUGCAGCAACUUCAGCUGCAAAUGUAAGCUAUCAGUGGGUCAAUUCAACUCCAUUCCCAACGUAUUGUUCACACGCACUAACCAAAUACCAAAUAAUUUGAGGCAUAAUUAUCUACAAAUCUCAGUCUAAAACAUUAAAACCCAUUAUAGAACAGCAUCACAGAUUUCUUCAUGAGGAAAAUCGCCCAAUUAAUUUAUCAUCAUUUAUUGAUCAAAACAAAAUCUCUUAACAAAACAAGAAACCGAUUUGUACAAAUAUUAUAUUAGAACAUCUAGAGAGGAUAUCUAAAAUGAUACAAUCAAGUAUUGAUUAAAACUUGCUCCAAAUUUUAACCAUUUCUACAACGGUAACAUUCACUAACAAAUGUUUUGAAUAAACUUACUCAUAUUAUGUUAUAAACUUAUUCAUGUCAUACUUGUGUCAUUUUAACUUAUUUUUUUUGACACAUUUGUUAUUUUUAAAUUAAUUUUUAAUAUCUUCAAAAAAAAUAUUAAACAAGUCAACACGAUUAAUAUGUUUGUUUUGUGUUUUUGUUCUCUCUUCGUUUGUGUCUGUGUUUUCGUAAACUUUCUUUUGUUGUUGUUCUGUUGUGUGUAUGUAGUAAAUGUGUUUUAUAUUUUGUGUGUAGAUAUUGAUGUCUUAUUUUUCUUUGAAUUUGUGACAGUGGGAAAACUGAAUUUUUGCAGAUGAAGAGGCAACCGGUAGCAAAAAGAACCCGUACUCAAACAAAUCGUAUGAUUGAGGAGAAGUAUAAAAAACUUAAGGAAAAUAAAGGACAAGAAAAAUAUGGGACUGAAUCGUCUAGUUCUAAGGUUAAUGAAUCAUCCAGUUCUAAGGAUGAUGAAUGUGUCAAAGUAUUUGAAAUGGACAAUGUGAGUGACAAGGAGGAGAAGGAGGAGGGGACUAGAUCAAAACAAGUUAAUGAUGAUUGUGGUGGUUUUUUGUCAGAAUCAGAAAGUGACAAUGAUGGAAGUGAUCCUUUAAGGCCAAUUAUAGUGGAUUGUUGUCCUGAAGAAGAUUUGGAUUUAGAUGCAGAGAAUAGUAGUUUGGGGUCAAAGACAACUGAUGAGUAUGUAAUUAAUGAUGAUUACGUGGAUGAUGGUGAUGAUGACGGUGAGAAGGAGGAGGAGGAGGAGAGGGAAACUGAUGAUGAAAGUUUACUGGAAGCGCGUACGAAAAAUAAGGGGAAAUUAAAAAAGUCAACCAAGGGAAAGCACAACCGUGUGCUGAAACAUGAUCAUGUUGAAAGAAUUAUUCUGAAAUCCAUUUUGAAUACGGAAGAAACUCCCUCAGAAGAUUAUCCAUCUUCCAGCAGAGAGGUUUUAAGAGACGAGAUGAGUCAAUCAUUCAAUGAUGAUGAGGAGUCAACUUCAUCAGAGAAAUCAGAGUGUGAUGAUGGCUUGGGUUAUCUCUGGGCUGAGAUGGACUUUGCUCGCAAAGUCAGCGAGCUGCAUUCCGCUAACUCUCCCAUCGUAUCUCGAGUUUGUAAUUUGAUUGAGCACAAAAGCAUUAUAUUAGGAUUGUUUUUAUUGAUUUAAGUUUUUAUAUUCUUUCUUAGAUUGCAUUGUAACCUAUUAUUGUUUCCUGUUGGCUGCUUGACAAUGUUAUUCAUAAAUUACUCUGUGAACAAGUAUUGGCGAUUAGAUUUUAAGCAAUGUCAUUAUCAUCCUUAUUGUAAUUAAAAAGUAAAAAACAGGCUUACUCUUUUUUCUUUUUCAGGUGUAGGCUUUAGUUUAAAGGAUAUACAUGUUGAUUUAAUAGAUUUAAUUGAGGUUCCAACUUCAAAUUUAUAUGUCGUAGACAGAAGUGAAAUUGCUCUGUAGUAAUUAGUAUACCUAUUGCUCUUUAUUCUUUAAAUUACUUCUAAGUUUUAUGAACUUCUAUUUUACAUCAGAGGCUUAUGGAAUAAAUUGAUGAUGCAAGGGUCAAAUGCAUGACUUUGUUGCUGUACUAUAUUAUAUUGAUUCAUAUUCUUAAUUGUGAUCAUUUAGCAUGAAAAUAUGAUUGUUGAACUGAUGAGGCAUAUGCUAUAGUUAACAAAUUUAUGAUUGUUUUAGCUAAUCAAAUUCAUUAUAUUUUUGUUUAUUGUUAUUUGCAUUUAUGACAAAGAUGCUUGACUUUGUUGCUGCCCUAAAUUAUCUUUAUUCAUAUUCUUAAAUGUGAUUUUUAGUAAUAAAAAUAUGUUUGUUGUACCGUUAAGGUAUAUAUGUUCAUCAUUAGUGUUAACAAAUUUAUGAUUGUUUUAGCUGAUUAAGUCUAUUCCUCCAAUGACAAAAAUUGUUUUAGAUGUUAAUCAAGAUGAUAAUAUAUUUCCAUUUUUUUAAUUGCUUUAAACUAGAUAAAAUUUAAAUUAGAAGCACUGCUUUCUAUACAAAGUUUAGUACUUGAUAUACUCUAUCACCAAUUUCCGACAUAACCCGCUCAUUUCUUUCACUCUCUCUUAAUUCUAAAUCAUUUCUAUAAAAAAAUCAACAAUGAUAUUUAUCUUUAUUUCAAUAUUUAUAGUUCUGAAUGAAAUUUUUUUUUCUUCUUAGGCUCAUUAAUUCUUGAUGCAAGAUUAGCUAAAUUCAAAAGCUUGGAAGCAUUGAAUUUGAGUAAUAGUAACAUAAAAAAUUCUCUAGAAACCCAUAUUAAUCAAUUUACACUGUGUUUUUAUGUUGAAACAUGAUAAAUAAGAGCCCAAUAUUGUUUUCUAAUUGGUUUUUUUUUUACAAAAUAAAAAUGAAAAUGCUAUUUUUAAAUUUAUUUUUAAAAUUUAAAAAUGUGUUCAGUAUCAUUUUCAAAAAUAAUCUCAAAAAUGAGAAAAACAAAAAUAUGUUUGGUAAGAAUAUCUCAAAGAAUUAUUAUUGGAAUAAUUUCCAUAAACUUAAGAUUAAGCAAUGUAUAUUGAUUAUUUUAAUUUUAAGAAUAAAUUAGGUGAUCUUUCUAUUUUUUUGUUCAAAGAAAAAUGAUAAACCCUACAUAUUUGAUCUAGUUAAUAUAUAAAAACAUAAAUAUUAUAAUGUAUAUAAAAAGAAAAGUUUUUUGUGAGGGAAAUUGAUUCUUUGGGUACAACAACAACAACAACAAUAAGAAUAAUAAUCUCUAGGUGACAUAUGUUUUAACAAAUUUUAAGAAGAUGACAUAUUUUUUUAAAAUAUUCGAACGAUUGACAUUCUAUUAACUUUUGCCAUUAAUUUUAAUAAGAAUAGUAAAUUAAAUGAUGUUUCUACCCCACAAAAUGAUGUUUCUACCCAUACUCACUCAUUUUUAAUUUUUUAAAUAGAAAAAUAUAAAAAAAUUAAACAUAAGUCUAAUUAACAGGUUUUUUUUUGUAAAUCUAAUAACUUUUAAAAAAAUUCUUGUUGAUCAAACUGAUUUGUGAAUAUAAAGAAGCAAAAAUCUUAUGAAUUAUAAAGUAUUGUAUAAAUUCAAUAUUUUCAUCUCUUUGGCUUUAUGAAAAAAAAAUAUAUUUUUCCAAUUCUACCCUCGGCUGAUUAAAAUUAACAGCAAAAGUUAAUGGAAUGUCACCCACUCAAGUGUUUUCAAAACAUGCGUCAUCUUUUUGAAAUUUAUUAAAAUAUGUGUCACCCAGGGAUAAUUAAACCUAAUGAUGAUAAUAAUAAUAAUAAUAAUAAUGUUGAUAUUAUUAUUAUUUCAAGAGGAGAUAAAGAGAAUUCUUAAUUUUGGAACUUAAUAUUGUAUUGGAAAAUAAGGAAAAUAAGAAAAAGUCGUUUCUCAUUUCUUUUGUUAAAAUGUGUAGAAUGAAUUUUAUAUUUUAAAAAAUAUUUCAGAAACAAUCUACCGAACACGUAUCUAAUAUUUUCUAAAUUCAAAAAAUAAAAAACAGCAUAUAAAAACAAUGCCAACGCACCCAAUAUUUGCAUUACUGACACACAAUUCCUACUUCCCAGUGACUUGUUGGUCAAAGUACUUUGCCGAAAUUAAAUAUGAAGACCAGUUUUUUUUUUUUUCCGCUUGGGCAAAUAGUUUUGUUUAAUGCUAUGAGAAGAAUAAAUAAAGUUUAAGAAAACAACUAAUAGAUUAUGAGUUUCUCUUUACAUUAUCCAACAAAUUUAGAGAUUAGAGAACCAAUAUCCAACGAAAAACACGAAGUCAACAAACUCUUCCGCAGAAAAUCAUUAUUUUAAACAAUGACAAUUGCUUAAACGCUUUUUGAAUAGAUUAUGAUGAGCAAGAAUUGCUGACUGCUUUUAUAUUAUUAUUAUUAUUUUAUUGUUAGAUUAAUUGAAACGCUUUUGCAAUCAACAUCAUAUUAUAUGAGAAAUAAAUUCAUAUCAUUCUAUUAUUAUUUAUGUGUACCAAAAUACUUAGACAAUUUGAUUUCUUGUCCGUUUUAUAAGUCUUAUAUUGGGUUCAUGAUUGAAUGCACUAUAAUUAGUUUUCGUUUUAUGAAAUCUGAGCUUUUUAUUUUCACUUUCAGGAAUAUGUAAUUUGAAGAAUCUUCUUGAGUUGGAUUUAAGCUCAAAUAGCCUUGAGGGUCACCUUCCUCGGUGUCUCAACAACUUGACCCAUCUCAAAGUUCUUGAUAUUUCUUACAAUCAGUUAAGUGGAAACUUUCCUUCUGCCUUGACCAACCUCACAUCACUUGAAUAUUUGGAUCUCUUUUUCAUCGAUUUCCAAGGAACAUUCUCAAUAAAUUCAUUGGCUAAUCAUUCAAAGCUUGAGGUCUUGCGACUCUCGUCAGGAAACGAUAUGUUGCGAGUGAAAACCGAAAACUGGCUCCCCACAUAUCCUCUCAAGGUUCUCCAAUUAUCUCACUGCCACUUAAAUGUCAAUAAUAGUUUUCUUUUACACCAACACCACUUAAAAUUCCUUGAUCUCUCUCACAAUCAGUUGGUUGGCAAUUUCCCAACUUGGUUGUUGCAAAACAACACAGGAUUAGAAGUUUUGAUUUUGUGGAAUAACUCAUUCUCAGGAAUUCUUCCCCGACUUCCCAAUGCCAAAUACGAUAAGCUUCGUUAUCUAGAUAUUUUCACUAACAAUUUCUCUGGUACGGUACCAGAUAAUUUGGGUAUUGUCUUUCAGAAAUUGAUAUAUUUGGAUAUGUCAAAAAAUAGUUUUGAAGGUAAUAUUCCUUAUUCAAUCAGUGAGAUGAAAGAGCUAAGUACUUUGGAUUUGUCUAGAAAUAAUUUUUCAGGAGAAUUACCUCGAUCUAUACUCUCUAGUUGCCUCUCCUUAGAAAUGUUGGACCUAUCAAAUAACAAGUUCUAUGGCCAACUUUUUCCCAAUUUUAUGAACUUGACUCAGUUGAGUUCCUUACUUUUGGACAACAAUCAUUUCAGUGGGAAGAUGACAGAUGGUUUGUUGAGCUCGCCUUUGCUGGGGAUAUUAGAUGUAUCCAACAACAAGUUAUCCGGCGAUAUUCCCCACUGGAUUGGCAACUUCUCACACCUUUGGCUUCUUUUAAUGUCAGAAAAUUAUUUUCAAGGUAGUAUUCCGGUCCAGCUCGGCAAUCUUGAAAGUCUUGGGUUUAUAGACAUCUCCGAAAAUAGUUUGUCUGGGUCCAUGGUAUCUCUCUCCAGUCUUUCAUCAGUGGAGCACAUUUAUCUGCAUAACAAUGCAAUUAAUGGGUUAAUUCCAAUUGCAUUGCUUAGAAGCUCUACAUUAUUGACUCUCGAUUUGAGGGACAAUAAACUUUUUGGUAGGAUUCCUCAUCAGAUCAAUGAGCUUUCGAAUUUGCAUGUUCUUCUUUUGAGAGGGAAUUAUCUACAAGGACGUAUUCCUAAUCAGUUGUGCCAAUUAAGAAAAUUAGGUAUCAUGGAUCUUUCACAUAACAGACUUAAUGGGCCGAUACCUUCAUGCUUGGGUAACGUGUCAUUCUGGAGAGAAGCGAUUGAUGAUUAUUCAUAUGAUUCCACUCUUGAUCGGCAGCCGCAAGGUAAACCACAUGGUGGAAUAGAUCAAAAAGUAGGUGUAGAAUUUGUGACAAAGUAUAGAUAUGAAUUUUUCAUCGGUCUCAAUCUCGUCGACAUGGCUGGAUUGGAUUUGUCGAGCAAUGAGUUCAGUGGAGAAAUUCCAUGGGAAAUUGGGCAUCUUCAACAUAUUCGUGCACUUAAUCUGUCGAAUAAUUUACUAUCAGGUGCUAUACCAGAGAGCUUCUCCAAUCUGAAAAUGAUAGAGAGCCUGGACCUUUCCCGCAACAAAUUAAGUGGCCGAAUUCCUCCUCAACUAACUGAGCUCAACUUUUUGUCAAACUUCAACGUGUCAUACAACAAUUUGUCCGGCCCAAUCCCAGACAAAGAGCAGUUUGCCACCUUUGAUGACAGCAGUUAUGAAGGUAAUUCGGCUCUUUGUGGCUCAAUGAUAAAGAGGAAAUGCAGCAGUGCGUUGGCACCACCAGCGACACCUACAGGAGGAGGAGAAGAUGAAGGCGAUUCUGUGAUUGAUAUGGUGGCAUUAAGAUGGAGUUUUGGAGCAUCCUAUGUGUCAGUGAUUUUGGGCUUCUUUGCAGCACUUUGGAUAAACUCGUACUGGCGCAGACUGUGAUUCUAUUUCAUUGAUAGAUGUAUUGACACGUGCUACUAUUGGCUUUUCAAAUACGGUUCUGCCGUGUAUAACUUAUCGUGAUGUAUUAUGUAUCCGUUGGCUUUUCUCCAAACAGCUACGUAUCCAUGUAUGUGUUUGUUCAAAUUCUCAAUCUGGUUCCAAAACUACACUCAUGUUUCCAAUUUCGUUUAAUUGGUUGCAUUAUGAUUAGACUUACGGCUUCUUCUUCAGUUUCUGUUGGUUGCAAAUUUAAAUUUAAUAAGGAAUUUUGCCAUCUAGUACGUUAGUUGUAAUAUCAUCAGUGCAGCAACUUCAACUGCAAAUCUAAGCUAUCAGUAGGUCAAUUCAACUCCAUUCCGAAUGUAUUGUUCACACGCACCAACCAAAUACCAAAUAAUUUGAGGCAUAAUUAACAACAAAUCCCAGUCUAAAACAUUAAAACCCAUUAUAGAAUAACAUCACAGAUCUCUUGAUGAGGAAAAUCGCCCAAUUAAUUUAUCAUCAUUUAUUGACCAAAACAAAAUCUCUUAACAAAACAAGAAACCGAUUUGUACAAAUAUUAUAUUAGAACAUCCAGAAAGGAUAUCUAAAAUGAUACAAUCAGGUAUUGAUUAAAACUUGCCCCAAAUUUUAACUAUUUCUACAACGGUAACAUUCACUAACAAAUUUUUCGAAUAAAAUUGGGAGAAAUAGGACGGCACCUUUGCAUUUUAUUGCUUUGCUCUCUCUUUUAACGAACAGAAGCACAGAUGGAUUGAUGAUUGUACAUCUCAGUUACCCCAUUUGUGAUCUGCUGUCGGUUUCUUCUCCGUUUUCUGACAACUAUAAAUCCUUCACCAUUCCCAUUUUUUUGGUUUGCAUCUUUGGGUUUUUUCUGUUCUUGAUCAUUGGACUGAGAUGCCAAGUUUGUUUUGCCCUUUUCAUUUCCAUAAAGGAUCUUUAUGAUAGCACUAUCAUUUGCAAUUGCAUCUGAAGAAUUUUCUGAAUACCAAUCUCCUUUUCAUAGCCUGAAGAUUGACUUGGAGCAUCCAUAUUAUGCUGGACUGACUUUACAAUGAAGCUAAGUAGUAUCUGUCUUGCCAGCUCUGACUUCUCGGCCUCUGUACUGCUCUUCCUUGAGGUAUUAUCUUCGCCUUGAAUACUGGACAUUUUGUCAAGCUUCUCAUCUUCUGCCUCACUUGUGUCAUUUGAAGAGUUCGACUCAUUUGAAACAUUUGAAUCUGCACUUCCAGGAUUUAUUUGCCAACCUCUCAUUGGCACAAACUUGGGUGCAUGCGGGUUCAUGAUUCUUGAAGGCCCCAACAGGUUUCUUUCCAUAAUGGAAGAGUGGUAUUUUGGAAAUCCAUGUUUCAUCAUGUAAGAAUAAUUAUUUCUAUAAUAGAGAGGCGACCUUGGCCCACAAGGAACUCUAGCAGCAGCCGAAGGUACAGCAGGUUCUGCAAGCAUACCUUGACUAGUUCUCGCAUCAUAAAUACUCGUGGCUGCUACAGAGUUUAGCAGAUGAGUCAUGGAGACAGAUCCUGGGUUGAAUGGUUCAGCUGUGGCAGAAAGCUUACUCCCAUUUGUUUCCAUGGGCUUUUCCUCGUUAGAAGAAGAAGGAACUUCCUUGGUAUCUGCAGCAGUAGUUUCAGAUUGAGUUACACUUCCAUGAGUUUCUUGAGACUGACCAUCAACUGGCGCAUCUUCAACUGGAGAGAAAUGGUUAUUCAACUCCGCCUUUGAUGUCUCAGGAGCAUUCCUGCACAUCUGCGUUUCAGUUUUUUCUUCAAUUUCUUCAUCAGGUUUCUCUGGUAAUGGCUUUAGAACCGUACCUGGUGGUGCCACAGAUACUUCUUUGUAAGACAGCGACUUGGAAGCCAUGGCAGUAAGGUUUGGUGGACUUGCAUAAACUUUGGAGACAGAAGCUUUUGCCUGCAGUUUAAUUGAAUCCUUUAUGCCUGUUAACUCAGUGGUGGUGGUCCUUGAAGCUUUUUCCCGUACUGGAGAAACAAUUUCCUGUCUAUUGCCUUUUUCUCUAAGAUUUGAAUGUUCACAACCAUUGACAUUUAGCUUUGUAAGAACAGGUCGCCUCCGGCUGAGCUUCCGAACAGCAGCAUUUCCUGACCUACCUUUUGGAUUGGCUUCUUGCCACCCCUCAUCUGAAUUUGUUUCUUCCACAAACUCACCUGAAAUUGCCGGUCCAUAUCUAGUAAUAUCAUCGUUCUCUUCUGGCUCUUCAGGUUCAACACGGUCUUCUAUUACCUCCUCGGUCUUGCUUUCCACUAUAGUCAUACUUUUUUUCAAUCCAUCAUUGGGCAGUGCAUCUUCCACCAUCAUAUCAUGAUGUACUCCAUGAAUCUUUUCCCUAAUCUGCAUUACCUGAAAAAAAUAAAUAAACCAAAAAAAGAAAACAAAACCUUUUUAACUUGUAUGCAUAUAAAAUGUCAAAAAUUGAGCCAAUAGAAAUAUUUCAUUUUAAGUUACAAUCAUCUUGUAAUUUUACAGUAGCAAAAUUUAUUACAACAAAUCCAGACAUAACAUGAGGCAGAAUUCAGUGGAACAUAAAUGGGAAUUUGAUAUGUACAUGCCUGAAAUGUUGAAAAAAACACUCAGUGAGAAAUUAUGCUAAUAUAUAUUAUGUUAAACUAAUGAAAUUCUUCAGCCUUUUGAAUCAUGGAAUUCUCAAAAAAAAUAAUCACAGCGAAAUACUUUACUAUUGUCUUAAAUUGUCAACCAGGUAAUACUUCAAAUUAGCACAUAAUAAUCCUGUCUUUCUAAUAUGUAGUAUUAUUUGGUUCUCUAAGGCCUACAAAAUGGGGAAAAAAAAAAGGGAAAAACUCCAACUGCCAAAUCGAAAAAUGUUUUUCUAGAAUCAAUAAUAACAACCAUUAAAUAACAGUAGAAUGGAAGAACUCCAUCUCCUAGCCAAAAUGAUAGAUCUGUCAUAUCCAUCCAUUGCACUUCAAAUUAAUGGUUUCUUCUCACUCUGUUCAAGGUUACGGGGUAAAACAAAAACUAUCACUCGUUCUGCUCAUCAUCUCUGAAUUUCUAAAGAACUAGCAGCUUGACCAAGCAACCCUCCAUCAUUGCCUACCAACUAUCAGCUGGCCCAAUCUAUGGCCAUCAAUAGAUCAGAACCUUCUAAAGUUUCAAUCAUGUCUGUGAUCUAUACAAGCAUGUUAGAUUUCUUUUUGUUGUUUGGGGGGGGGGGGGGGGAGUGUGAUUCUAUGCUAGAAAUGGAUGUUUAUAUUUGGUGCCUUCAGAGUUCACUCAGAAAAGUAGAACUAUUAUCCAGCAAUAGUUAGUUGCAUUUUGCAUGGACAACAAGUUUACUCGUGUAAUCAGCAAAUCCAAAACUAUAUGCCAGCAGAGUGUACUCUAAAAUACCAAAUCCUAACUAAAAUUAGUUUAAGAAUCCAUUCAGAUGGACAUCACAAGAAAAAAGGAACAGAGAACAGCAGCAUGCUUAAUGCUUCAUUUCACAUAGCUUUUCAAAUAGAUCUUAUUUGAGUAGAGUUCUGCUAGUAAAGAUUUUAUAAGUAAAGUUUUUACUCAAAAAAAUUGUGUUGUUUGGUUGUCAAUAAGAGCUUUUAUUAAAAAUUAUAAAAUUACUUUAAUAAGCAAAUUUUUUAAAGUUAUGUUUUGAAAAGAAAAAAAUAAGAUUGUCAUAUAAAUAGAGAAUAUUUUAGAUAUUUUAACAUUUAAAAAAAAAAUUUAACCUCUAUUCUCAAAAGCACAAAAUUUGAGCUUUUUAUAGUAGAGGCAAAAUAAAUUAUUUAAUUUUCAUGAGCUCUACUAAAAAAACAAUUAAACAACAAAAAAAAUUUUGAUAAGAGCUUAUAGGAUUAAAUAAAAUUUUAAGACCAUUAGAUAAGUCAUACCAAACAGGCACUAAGUAUGUACUACCUUUGCACGUCGUUGUUUCCUAUGUGCUUCGCUUCUUUUAGAAUCUUGACCAGGACUUAUGUAAUCCAGGAGAUCUGAUACACUGCGAAAAGCGAUCAUUAUAGGUCUUGGUGCCACAAGAAAUAAUCAACAAUUUAGAAACAAGUAAUGUGGGAAUACCCUGUUAAUACCUAAGGUGACCUUUACUCGCAAUGGACGCAUCUGGAUUUGGAGUUCCAUUCCGUGCCGCUUCUUGCUGCUCUAGAGCUCUUGAUUCAAAAUACUCCAGCCAUGCAGCAGCAUCCUGUAAAACAAAAAACAAAAUACAACAAAAUAACAAAAAUCUCUUCCCAUCAAUAAUAUGGAACUUGAGAAAUUCUCUCAUGACAGUUAAGAUUAGAGGUAGCAAAAUGGAUUACGACACAAUUACACAAUAUAAUACGACAUAUGACCCAUAUUUGUGUUAACAAAUAUUGACACGAUUAAUAAAUGAGUUGACACGACACGAUAAAUAACCAUGUCGUAUCUGUUUUGGACCAUCUCAACAUGAUUAUACGUUUAUAACAUAAAUAUCAAUUAUUAUGUGUUAAUAUUAUUGGAAAAAAACUAAAAUAUAUACUAAUCACCAAAUUAAUGACUCAUGUCAUAGUCAUAUUAUGUUAUAAACUUAUUCAUGUCAUACUUAUGUCAUUUUAACUUAUUUAUAACUUAUUUUUUUGACACAUUUGUUAUUUUUAAAUUAAUUUUUAAUUUGUUUGUAUUUAAUAUUAAACAAGUCAACACGAUUAAUAAACGGGUCAUAUCCGUAUUUUGAUAUUUCGAUACGAUUAAUGAAUGGGUCAUAUCCAUACUUAACACCAAAAUAGGCCGCCGAUACAAUUUGUUUUAUAUCAUAAUAUCACCUGUAAAAGAUUGACAAGAGAGAAGCCAACUAGCCAAAUUGCACAACAGAACCAAUUAAAAUAUGACUACAUGUAGUCACCUGAGUACGCAGAUCUUCUAGUCCAAGCUUUGCUUGGAGAAUCUUAAGUGUAGUUUGCUCAUGUUGCACACUUAGUGAAUAUGCCUCCAUCAAAGAAAGAGCUAUGGCUAUGGCAUGAUAACUUGCAGCUGUCUGUCACGUGAAGAAAUCAAACAAAAUGCUGAGUUUACAGAAAGAUUUAUAAGUCUAAAGAGCGUGUAUACAUGCGUAAAUAGAGAGAGAAAAAUCUGUAUAUGGUCACCUCCUAAUAGUCUUUGGUUGCAUUUAAUGGCCUCAUGCAAAUAUCUAAGAGAAAGAUGAACAUUUCCCAUGCCCUCUUCCAUCAUAGCCACAUUUAUGUAUGUUGCAGCAGUGUUUGGAUGUGAAAGUCCACAAGUAAAAUGCGAAAGGAAUAAGGCACGAUUUACAUAUCUGCCAAUAGUAUGGUAUGAUCAGGAGCUAGAGCCAAUAAAAGACAAAUAAAAGCUAAAGUAGGUAGAUAAAAACUGCAUUAGUUCAAAGCAGAUUCAAUACAAAGGUCUCAUUUUUCGAAACUUCCAAUUUAAUUUAUGAAUAAAUAAACCUUAAUCAGUUAAAGAAUGAAAACAAAGUUGCUCCGGUAAAUCAAGUAGUGCUACUCACUUAAGAGCCAAUUCAAUGUGUUGAAGGCGAUAAUAGAAAAUUGAAAGAUCCCCGUAGCUUUUCAUUGUAUCUGGGUGGUCGAGACCAAGUUCCCUCUCAUUAAUAUCCAAUGCCUUCUGCUGAUAUAUAGUUGCCUAAAAUGAAGAAGAAGAUAUCUUGAGUACAUACGAACACUACUCUAACACUCAGACGCAGAUGCCAUUAGACGAAAUGCCGGAACAUAAGAAUCAUGAACGUGUUUGAUUUAGUUAAAAUAUAUAAUCUGAUAUCAAAAUUAUGCUAAUGCCUGUACAUGUAAUUCCUAAGUCCAGAAAAUUAUAAUUCCUAAUGCAUAUCUUUAUACAAGACCAUAAAAACUAACCAUAACACACAAAAAUUCAAAUCAAAUGUCCCGAUGAAUGAGAACCUCCGUACAGAAGGACGUUAUAAUUAUACUAGACUUAGAAUCACCAAGUUAACACUGAAAUACAACUGAAGAUUGUCCUACCUGAUUAAAGUCUCCAGUAUAGUAGAGAACUACAGCUAGAAGACUGUAAGCACUUGCAGUAGUCCGAUGGUCGGGACCACAAACAGCUAUCAUCCUUGCCAGUGCCUUACAAUGCAAGUAAUACAUCAUAUGAGAUCAAGAGAUGCCUUAUUAUGAAAAGAAUAAUGUAAUUCUUACGUAUAGAUCGAGUGGGUUAUUACCUUUGUCCCAUAAUUUACAGCAUCUUCUAGUUUUCCUCUAUCAAGGGCAAUUUUGGAUGACUCUAAUAAGGUCCGUCCAUCGGCUGAAGUGCAACCUACAUGCUGUAGAAUGCCAUAAAAGUAGCACAAUUACAUUCAAUUUACAAAUGAGUGACUCAUUGAGAAUGUAAAAACUAAAUCAAAACACAAUUAAGAGAGAAAAUAGUCUCACCUUGCACACAGGAACCAUGCUGACAAUAUCAUCUCUCGUGAAUGGGUUUGGGCAUUCCAUAUAAUAAUCUCUGGGAACCAACACCAACCCAACCUGGGUGAAGUUUACAAGCAAAAUUCAAGCUUUGAAAAUAAUCGGCUGCCAAAGGAACCGAAAAGACAGAACCUUAUAUGGCAAAGCCCACGUAGAAUUGAAAUCUUUCUCAAAUGCUGAAACUCAUCUUUCAGGGACCAACCAAAUCUUCUGCCAAGAAAUGUUCAUAGCCACUGCAAUCUGAGGAUAUGAUCUUCAUUCAAGCUUUGGUCAUCUUCCAUCUCACAACAGCCAAAUAAUAAAUUUAGGGAAGAAGCUAUAGCUGCAGAUAGGUCUGAUAAAUAGUCAACAGAUGCGAUGACUCCUUUAAGUAUAUGCUUGAACGCUCGAGUAACCAUCUCAUGAAUACAAAGUGAUUGUAUGUGAGGAAGCUUCUCUGCAAGUUCAACCUGAAUUUGUAAAUGGGAUUAGAACCAACAGAAGAAGAAUACCAGGCUUUCAAGUAUUAGCAUGUCAAUUUCUCAAAAUAUUGUAUGUCAUACAACAUACAGUAAUAUCUAAAGACGACAAUAAUUCAAUGUCUUGGAAAAGGUCAAAAAUGUCAAAAAUUCUAUCAUGUAGUACAAUUUUCAAAAAGGAACAUUGAUAAUUCAAUCCAGGAAGACUUGGGGGGAUUGUUUACAUAUAGAAAGAUAACUUGGGGGCUUUGUUUACAUAAAGAAAGACAACCUUUGCUUAUUCCGAUUUCCAUGGGUGAAUAGGUUGCAUGUCUGAGAGAGAAAGAGAGGGAGAAAUUCCUCAGCACGCGACCUAAAGAGCGCAUUUGUAGUCCCCUUAAAUGCAUAAAGUCUGUCAGUGUCGGCCAUCAACCGGAGAAAGUUCAAGUGAUCCAAAGUCUGUUACCUAAUAAAGAAUGGAAAUUAGUCCAUAAACCAUCCCCACACGUCUAAAUUGGCUGCAACAAAGGCCCUAAAUAAAUUAAAUAGUACCAGCUUUGGUAAAGCAAUGUCAUCAUAAUACUUGUAUGUCAUUUUCAUAAGCUCAUCCACUGCCUGCACAAUAAAUUAAUUUUACCAGUCAUUCCAUAUGAAAAUAAAACAAACCAAAUUUAGCGUAAUGAAAACACAAAAAGUAGCAAACUUUACAGUUGAAAUGCAAAACAAAUUUGAGAUUCUGAAACCUUUGAAUGAAGACUAGUGCCAGUUUCUUUCAAUCGCAAGAAGGAUUCUUCAGAAAUUAGUUUUUUUCAAUUCCAUCUCACAAUUCAGCUCGCCAUUGCUUUGCUGUCUACCAUUACCUCCCACAUUCACGCUGCACGGUCCAUUGUCAUUUUCGUUAGCCUCAUUAAUGCUACCAAUAAGGUUAGGUCUGUUCUCCCUCUUCUUCAAAAAUUUAAAUUGCUUCCCAAGACCUUUGACAGCAUGUUCAGUCUCAAUAUCAUCCCCAGACCUCGUUGACUUGGUAUCUGUUGGAGUUUCC